UGUCACUCAUUCCCUGUUGUUGGUGCACUUUGUAGUUACCAUUGCCAUUGUUGUAGCUGUUGUAAUUGUUGGAGUAGGUUUGUUCUUGAUUGUUGUAGUUGUUGUAAUUGUUACCGUAGUUUGUUGGGUUGGUGCUGUAGCUUUUGCCACUCAAUCUUGUUUCUGUAAACCCCUGUUGCUGCUCGUUGUUGUUGUUGUUGUAGUAUGAGUUGGCAGCAUUAUCAUACUCUUCCUCCUCGUUGAUGUCUUCAUUGAUAUCCUCGUUGUUGUUGUUGAUAUUGUUGUACUGCUGGUUGUUGCUGUAAAAACUGUCACCGCUGUAGAACUGUUGCUGCUGCUGGUUGUCGUAGUGGUUUUUAGUACUGAAAUCACUGACACCGUGGUAGUACUGUUGCUGGUUGUUGUUGUUUCUGCUGCGGUAAUUGGUGGGAGCACUGUAGAAUUGGUUGUUGUUCUUGUUGCUGCUGCGGUAAUUGGUGGGAGAACUGUAAAAUUGGUCAGUGGUUUGCUUGGUUGCAAACUCAUUGUUGUUGUUUUUGUUGUUGUCAUUGUCAUUGUUGAAGUUGUUUUCGUUAGUGUUGUCCUCAGCAACAGUGAUAUAAGAAACAGGGUUGUAAUUUUUGGGAAGGUACUUGCUGUUAGGAAGAUUGUUUACAUUGGGAGAAUUGGUGUUAGUAGUAGAAGGGGUGGAAACAGAGUCAUGACCAUAUAAGCCAUAUGCACCAUUUUCAUUUUCAGGCAUGAAAUUUGGCUCUUGCUCUUUGUUAGGAACAACUGAUUGUGUCUCUUUUUCACCAUUGUUGCUAGGGACUUUGUUGAAAAAUUGGCCAUCCCUUGCAUGAAUUUGAAGUGAAGAUAAGAGAGCAAACAGAAAAAUAAGGGAGAAGUUUUUGGCAAAGGAAGCCAUUUUGGAUAGAGAAAAAAGGAAUUAAGUGAGAAUUUGAGUUUGUGUAGUUUUGUUCAAUGGUUGUGAACUUACAAUGGGACUGUCUUUAUAUAGAGACCCUUUAUCCCUAUUUUGUGUGUAUUUGAAUUUUUUUUUUUAUAGUUCCAAAUUUUAAAAACUUUUUUUUUUUAAAAGAGUGGGGAGUGAUUAUCUCUCCCUCCAAUUUCUUGCUUAUUAGGUGCAAAUGGGGACAGGAGAAAUGGAAGAAAGAAGCUGGUCCCCAUGCGUAAUUAUAGCACUUUAACAAAAGGGUUAUUUUGACAGAUGGAUGUUCCUCAUUUGUAUCGAAUUAAUUAACAUAAUCUACUAAUUAUUAUAUCACUUGAAAGAUAAUUAAGAAUAACUAUUUUCAGUAAAUGUAUUGAUAAUUUAAAAUUUAAAGAUAACCUGCCAUAAUAUGUUAGUACUAUUUUACUAGAAAGUUCUUAUGUUUCUAAACGCACAUAAUUUAAAUUCAUUUUAUUUUUCUUGCUUUAGUUUUUUGUAAUUUCCUCUCAAGUGUACAUUUUUUUAAUAAAAAUACUUAUCAAUGUACAGUUGGAUCAAACUUAUUUAUCAAUAUGGUAUAAAUAUAUAAAAUCCAUAUGCCUAUUAUGAAUAUUAAUUUACUGGUUAUUUAUAAACUAGAUCGCUUAUUCCUUUUUUAAUUAUAUACUGAUAGUUGCAGAAAACAACAAUAAUCUAUGAAUUUAACUUUGUCCUUAAGAUUCAGUCAUGCGGCUCAAAAGUGUAAUCCUUAUGCUUUAGCUAAUUAAUCGCAAUUUGUUUUUAAUUUACUUUCCAUAUAUUUUAAACUCAAUUAACUUUUGAAGAACACAACAAAAUCAGUAAUGAUUCUAAAGAAUAUAAAACUUUAAGCUUUUAGGGUUUACGCAACUUUUGAUGUAUAUGGGCAAAGGAUCCCGAGGUGGUAGGUUCCAAAUGAGUAAAAUCCAGGCCAAAAUCCAACUAAAAUUACUCAAAUUGAUAAUCAAAAUAAAUGUGUAACAUUAAUUGAUACUACUAAUGUUAUAUUUUUGUGGCCAUUUAGCACUAUCCUUUCCUCUAUUCAAUUGUUAAGACUUAAAUUAAAAGGUGAAAAGAAUUAAGUGAGACAAACAUCAUUUUCAAAAUUCUAUCUAAAUUACAAACUUUCUUUUAUAGUCAUUUGAUAUUCGAAAUCCUCUGACCUUAUUACUCCUUCUAGUUCAAAAUAAGUGAAUUUUUGAGCUAUCUUUUUAAUACUUAAAAUAAGUGAAUUGUUAAUUUUUUAAAAGAUAUAUUGAAAAUUUCGUCCAAUUUUAUGUUCUAAUUUAUUUUCUUUAAUAGGUAUGUAUUGAGGCAAGAAUUCACUUAUUUUGAAUUCGAGGAAAUAUUAUUAAUAAGGAAUAUUAUUAGAUUUCAAACUAAAUUAGAUCUGAACUAUAAAUGAUGUUUCUCCGAUCUACCUCUAACCGAUAAGUCAAAAUUUCGAGUUACAUUUGAAUAUAUAAACUAUGAUCAUUUGAGGUUAUGAAAUUAACAAAAAUUCAAAAAGGUAAAAACACCCCCCUCUUGCCAAAAAAGUGGUCAUUGAAACAAACAAAAAGAGAAAGACAUAUAUUAUAAAGGAGAAGAGGAAAAAGAAAAAAAAAGAGUAAGGAGAUUAAAGGGGAAAUUAGAAUUGGAAGGAGAAGAGAAGCGGGGAUUGUGGAGUGGCCAUGAAUGAAAAUAAAAAAGAAAGUAUGGAGGGGGACAUUGAAAGUUAUGGAAUUUCAUUGGCACCACACAAACACACACACCAUGUGCCUAUUGUUUAAUAGAUAUCUAUGUAUGUCAAUGUGGGUACCUUUUUUUUACUUCUCCUACUACUCUAAUCUCAUUUCUUGCAUGAUUAGCUAUGGAAAAUACUAAUCCACGCGCAUAUAUAAACUAAACACGGAGCAAUUUAAAUUUUAUAUGCCGACAGUGAGAUACUAAUAAGGCUACUUAAACAAUAAUUUUAUGUAAUUCUUUAUAAUUGCUUUAGUUGAAACUAAAUAUGUAUGGCCAUACAUUUUACUUUUAUUUAUUGGAAAAAAACAUCAUUUUCACCCCAAACUAUACAAGAAAAGUUCAAGUCACACCUAAAUUAUACUAGUGAUCUCUUACACACCUAAACUAUAAAAAGGUGGAACCUUUUACCCCUUAAAUCUGACGUGAAAAAAUCAUAAUUAAUUAAAUUAAAAAAGGCGCGUCUACAUUAAUGCAAAAAAAAAUAUAAAAAAAUAAAAUAUUGACUCUACCCAACCCCUAAACUAUCAUCUUCUUCAUCGCUUCCACCUCCAAACCAUCAUCUUCUUCAUCACCCCUCACCCCAAACUCCAACCCCACCCCAACCAACAUAUCUUCUUCAUCACCCCCACCCUAAACUCCAACCCCACCGAAUCAAUGUCAAUUUCACUAAUUUUGAAAUCUCGAAACAAAAUUUGAAUUAGUAAUUUCGAACUAAGCUUAAACGAGCUUGCCGAAAUUCAAAUUGAAUUUGUAAUUUUCAUUUCGUCGGUGUUUCGGCGAACUCAAACGGUGACGAAUAUCCCCAUAUCCACGAAUCCCAAAUAUGAAGCACCAUAUCCAUUCUCAAUUUUUUUAAUUCUUCAUUUUUUUCUUGCCUUUUUUUGCUCACGCUUUUUUUUUUUUAUUUUUCUAUUUUGUUUGAUCGUUUUUUUCUUUUUUCAGUUUUUUUUUCUCAUUUUUCUUAAACUUUAUUUUUAUUUUUUCUCUCAUUUUUAUUUUUCUCAAAUUUUUAAUUCUUCGCUUUUUUCAUGAUCUUUAUUUUUUUCUUUCCAUUUUUUCUCAAUCUUUUUUUUAUUUAUCUAUUUUGUUUGAUCUCUUUUUUCUCAACUUCUAUUAUAUUUUGCUAAUAAAUAAAAAAUUGGAUAAUCCUCAAAGGGGUCUUACUUUUUUGACAUCAAAGCAAAUUUAAGAGCAUGAAUUGUUGUUACGAAGUUCUUUGAAAACUCUAGAGAUAAGUCGUGUCUCUAAGUGGAGAGUUGUAGAAUAUCUAAUAAAUAAAGGAUAAUGUGGUAGUGUCAGCUCUUGCCCGUGGGGCAUAGUUUAUUAUUUGAAAGUCCUUGAGCUAAGUCUUGCCUCUAAGGCAAGAGUUGUAGAUCAUUCCAUAAAUGAAGACAUAACGUGGUAGUGUCAACUCUUGUUCGUGGGGCAUAAUUUGUAGUUUGAAAGUCUUUGAGCUAAGUCUUGCCUCUAAGGCAAGAGUUGUAGAACAUCUCAUAAAUAAAUACAUAACGUGAUAGUGUCAACUCUUACUCAUGGGGCAUAGUUUGUAGUUUGAAAGUCCUUAAGCUAAUUAAGUCUUGCCUCUAAGAAAAGUGUUGUAGAACAUCUCAUAAAUGAAAACAUAACGUGGUGUCACACCCCCUUUUUACCCAAGAAGAUUGAUUUUAAACGUUUGAAAGAGUUUUUAUUAUUAAAGUGACAAAAGAUUAAAAAUUUAUUUCGAAAAAAGACAAUUUACAUUUUUUAUUCAGAGUCGCCACUUGGCAUAAUCCGGUGUGUCAAGUCACCUUUGGAAAAUCCUUUUCAAAACUGUUUUGACUCUUUUAAAACUGGUUUGCGAACAGAGAUUCCGGCUAAGGAAUUCUGUUGACCGAGGGGAAGGUGUUAGGCACCCCUUGAUCCCGUGGUUCGACCACGGUCGCUUGGUGGAGCGUAUCGGCCAAUUCGACACUAAACAUGUAUAGACCAUAUAAACACACAACAAUCAAACAAACAAACACAAACCAAAACAAAUCCUAAAAAUAUAAUAUUUAGUCCAAUUAUACAGUCCAAAAAUAAAAAAAUACGAAAAAUGUAAAUCCUAUUCUAAACUAAUCCUAGACUAAGCUCCAUUGCUUUCCCUAAUCGACGUUUUGGGCCUUGAUCGCGCAUCGUCUUCAAGUACAUGAUACUUCGUGACAUUCCCCGAAUAAACCAAUACAAAAUCCUCGGGGCACUCCCCGACCAAAUAAAUACAAUAGAUCCCAAUGCAUAAAUGAAAACCAUUCCACAAACAUUUCAUCAUUCAACAAUCACAAAUCCUAAGCUUUGCCUACCCAACCUACCUUUGACUAUUCAACUUUCGACCUAAAAUAUGCUCUUAUCGAGUUCACAAACUUGAAAUUUAUUCCGAAUUAAACAAAAACAACAAUGAAUCAAAAUCGACCAAAAAUUCACCCUUUUAUCAAUUUCUCAAUUUCCGCUCCAAAACGAUCAAUUUUAAUUCUCAAACGAGUACCAUUUCAUCCCGUAAUCCAUAACCAAAGAAAUCAAACAAAGAAACUAAACAACCAACAAUUCACAUCAACAUAGAUCAACCAACACGAUAUUCUAUUUAAUGUACCGGAUAUCAUCAACAAUGAAAUAAAAAGAGGUGAAAGAGUAGAAUUGGACCUCAUUUGAAGCUUUCAAAUUCAAUAUUACUCGAAUAAAGAGAUGAAGCCCGCAAUAGGAGACCUCAAAUUGAACCUCGGCAACGACUGCCAACUCGAAUUAAAAAUCUUCAACUUAAGAACCUAAAAUCCCGUUGUAAUUCCCCUCAAACCGAUUUAGAACUAAAACCCACAAACAAAAAGAAGCAACGAAACCCCAAAUCUAACCACACAUUCAAAUGCCGACCAUGAUUUUGAAUCGAUUUUAUCGACUGAGAUGAGAUAAGGUGACGACAGGCUUGUGGGUGGUAUUUUCUGAUGGUUUGAACGGAGCAAUCAGCUGGAAUUACUGUUUGUUUCUGUUUUCCAGCGAUGGUUUGGCUGGAUCAAUUCGCGGUAUUAUUGUCGCCUAUUCGGAGAUCCAGUGAGCUUCGACGGCGAUUCAAACAGUGACGAGAGCUACAGUUCCGGCGAGAAUGUCUUCGGAAAAUUGAGGAUCGAUCUGUGUCUUUUUUUUUGUUUCUCCCAAUUUUCUCACUGUCUCUCUCUCGAUCUUUAUCCCUCUCCCGAAUUGUGUAUGUAUCGUGAGUAUGUGUAUGCAUGUUUUCUACGCCAAAGAAGAAGAGAACAAAGAUAUUCUCCUUUUUCGUAUGUUCUCUCAAUAUUGUUGAAGGAAUCGUGAUUGUCUAUUAUGGAGAAUAAGAUGAUGAAAGAAUGAGCCUCCCCCUUUUUUCCUUUUAGAAUUUUUCUUUUAUAUUUUUUAUUUGGUUUUUUUUUCUUUAUUUAUUAUCCUACGUGGAAGCAUAUAAUUAGUGGCUUGUGGAAAUAAGUGUGUGGCAUGUGGAAAGAUGAGGGUGGCGUGUGAAAAAAUGAGUAGGUCGUGUGCCUUUUGCAUGUAUCCAAUGAAAAAUGAAAAGUGAGGUGUUGAGGUGGCAUAGUGAGGUAGCAAAGAUGCUAUGUAUUUAAUUAUUUUCAAUUUUUUUUAGGGAGAAAUUAUCAAUUAAACAAAAGUAUGGUAGGUGAAUAAAAUAAAAACAAAAAUAAAAAUUAAAAUUAAAAAAUAAAAUAAAAUAAAAUAAAAAUAAUUAAAAUAUUAUUGGAAAAAUACAAAAUUACGUGUCUACAUCAUGCCCCCUUUGUAUGUAAACACAUGGUGUUUUCAUACAAAGCAGUAGACAACGAGACAGAAUUUUUUCCUGACCUUAUUCAAAAGCACGGAGCACGAGGAAGGAGGAAAAUCAGGUCUUGACUUAGGACAUCCUACCUACCCAAGUUAUGAGAGAAUCGAGUGACAGUUAUCUCAAAGGAUUGGAAGGAGAUGGACUAUGCCGAGUUGGAGAGUCGAGUGAGGUCCCAUCGAGGUUCCGAUCCGAGGCUCUGUUAUUACAUCAAAAAUGAAAAUUACAAGUUAAAAACAUAAAUGAAAUUAUAAAAUCCUAUCUACGCAGCUUCUGUUGGACUCUUGACUUGAGUUUCAUCACCCUAUUCUUCAGGCGGGCUCCUGAUUUGAAAUUUCUUCAACUUGUUGCUUGGUUUUCAAUUUCAUCACCCUGUUCUCCAGGCGGGCUCCUGACUUGCUAUUUUCGAUCUGUUGGCUUUCAUUUUCUUCACUUUGUUACUUGACUUUCAACUUCUUCACCUUGUUGCUUGACUUUCAAUUUCUUCACCUUGCUGAUUGACUUUCUAUUUAUUUGCCCUGUGCUUCGGGCGGACUCCUGAAAUCACAUCAAAACUAGAAAGAAAAUUAUCCUAAACAAAAUUAUUAUAAAGAGAAAAUCGUUUGCCAAAAAAGUAAAGUUCCAAAACAGAUAUUAAUUUUUUUUUAUUUUUUAUUACUUGUGGGUGUCGUAUUUAUGUUAUGCCAUCUUGUUCCAUGCUUUACUAUAAAUUUGUUUAGUAUCCCGUGUCUCGAGUCGGGGGUCUAUCGGAAAUAGCCUUUCUACUUCUUUAGAGGUAGAGGUAUGGACUGCGUACAUCUUACCCUCCCCAGACCUCACUAUGUGGGAAUACACUGGGUUUGUUGUUGUUGUUUUAUUUUUUGCCCCAGUUUACCAUCAGAAGACUUUUGAGAAAGUCAGAUCAUACCUACUUACAUGUUGCAAUAAUAAAUCAAUACUCUGACCAAGAAAUGCAUCUCUUGAUAGUAAAAUUGAAUGACCAAGACUAGGAAGUGCGUCUCCUAAGAAUUAAAGUGAGAAAUACUGACUAGAAAGUGCAUCUUCUAGGGAUAGAAGUUUAAAUUAAAAAGUGUGUCACCUGACAAAUGAAAACUAACAAGGAAGUGCGUCUCAUAAGGAUUAAGUGCAAUGACUCGACUAGAAAGUGCAUUUUCUAGAAAUCAAGGAGAAUGACUUGACUAAAAGGUACGUCUUAUAAGAAUAAAAAAAAUGACUCGACUAAAAGUAAGUCUUUUAGGGGUCAAGGGGAAUGACUCGACUAAAAGGUACCUCUUAUAGGAAUCAAAGAAAAUGACUCGACUAAAAAGUACGUCUUAUAGGAAUCAAAGGAGAUGACUCGACUAAAAGGUACGUUUUAUAGGAAUAAAAAGAAAUGACUUGACUAAAAGGUACGUCUUUUAGGGGUCAAGGGGAAUGACUCGACUAGAAGGUACGUAUUCUAGGAGUGAAGGGUCAAUUUAAGAAGUGCAUCACCCAACAAAUGAAAACUAAAAUCCCUGGAAAGGAAAGUAUGUCUCCGAGGGAUAUAAGAUGAUGAAUUUUUACUAUGAUUUAAUUAUCAAAACUUUGCAGCAACAUUUCUUCCUGCAUUUGUAAAAGUGAGAAAUUACGGGCCUUGAUGUUUAGGUUUUGAAAUCCUUGAGUUGAAGGUGACAUGUGUUCUUGUUUCAUGCAAAGAAAAGUUGUGAGUUUAAAAACGUGGAGGCAAGUUUGUGGCUUUGGCUUUCGUGGCAAACGCUCUUGCCGUCAUCACAUUUAACCUUGCUUCCAACCAUUACAUAUAUCAUUGACUUGAUGCAUCAUUGACCCAAACUCAAAUUAUUAAGAGUGACUUUGAAACAAAUACAGUAUCUUUGCUUUGCCAUGCUCCUCAGAUAAACUCUUUGAACUUUGGUAUUUCCAUGAGGUCCCAGACUUGUCUGUUGACAGAACUUUCUGUAUGCCUUAUUUCGGCUCACAAUCAUAUCUCUUUCAUGUGUUGGCCUUUUGUCUUGAUUUUUGCAAUUGAAGAAGAUUGUAGCCAGUUUUGAAAUCUUUUCUCACUUGUUUUGACACGGACUUGACUCAAAGACAAGAAACAAAAAAAAUGAUAAUUUUUUUUUGGAUAGAUGACUCAAUAAAUAUAAAAUAAAAAUAAAGAGAAAGAAAAGACAAUGAAUGUCUCCUUUUGAAACAAAGAAGCGAAAAAUUCAUCUAAAAAUGACAAUCAACACUAAUGAUUAUGCCAUCCAUUUUGGAUUAAGCAUCUUGAUCUUUUCAUCCAAAUUUUCUACCCAUUGUUGUUGAGUUAAUGGCCUUGAAACUGCGUUGUUUCCUUAGGUCAGUUGAAUUUAAGACCCCAUUCGGCUAGUGGUGCCUUGAAGGGUUUUCGCCAACAAGCUUCUCUCAUUUUCUUUUCCUCAGCUCACCAUUGACUUAUGGUGUUUUUAAGGAUUUUCCACUAAUGAGACUCUCUUAUCUUCGUUUCCCUUAACUCACAGUCGUCUUAUGACGCCCGUGAGAGUUUUCACCGAUAAGACUCUCUCAUUUUUAUCUCUCUCAAAUUACCAUCAUCUUACGGUGCCCGUGAGAAUUUUCACCAAUAAGACUCUCAUUUUUAUUUCUCUCCUGAUUUCUUAUGUUGAGGAAGACAAGUAGUUUCCAAAUGCAUCAUCAUAUCCCUUGCAUGCUUAGCCUUAACAUCCUCAAAGAUUGAUCUGAAGGUCUUUCUUUGGUUGAAACUUAAUUUUUGGAUAGGGUUAGAAAGAAAGGAUGGCAUGGGGCCCAAACGACACUUGAAGUGGUGUAAGACUUACAACUUUUGGAAUCGGCUCAAACAAUGAGGAUUAACUCAUGCCCCAAUUUCUUUUGACUGGGUGACUCUAAAUUGUUUAUUUGGUUGGACCGAGCCCGGAUUAAGGCAGCCUACGUAUCUUACUCCCGAGAGAGGAGAAUCAGGUCAUGCGUAGUUCUGGCGGCUUGUUCUUUUGCUUGAUAAUGACUCCUUUUUUAUUCCAUUGACUUUUAUUGACUCUUUUCUUUUUGGAAUUUUUUUUCAACUCUUUUUUCUUGAUACUUUUUUUUUUCUUUUUGGACACAUUUUUUCUCUCUUCUCUUCUUUUUUUUGACUCUAUUCUUUUGCUCUACACUUUUAUUUUGAAUUUUAUCGACUCUAUUUUGAUUCCAAAAGAGGGGUAUGAAAGAAAAUAGAAAUAGGCUCAAAUGGGGUAAACAAAGAAUGACACAAUGUUUGGAUAACAGAAUAAAAUGCCUUCGUCAUAUCAAUCCUUGAAAAUGCAAGUACAUAUCAUGCAAUAUGAAAGUAAGAGAUGAAAAUCAGUUGUGAUAUUUUUUACAGCACUAAUUUUAACUGAAACUGUGCGUCGUUACUUCUUCUGCCAACUCCAUCUUUGUUGUACAUUCCUCAUGCUUUCAUGGAGCUAAUUUUUCUAUUCCUUUUGAUGUAGGAUCACACAUCUACUAUUUGACUUAAUUGAGACAUGUCUUUCAAAUGCUGACCAAGUUAUUCUCACGAUUCUCAAAAUAAUUGCCUUAAUUUUCAAAGAAGGCUUCAACUUGAUCACCAAAUGCCCCAACACUCUAUCUAUUUUCUCAGACGCUUUCUUUUUCUAACUUUAACCCUCUGAUUCCAUGUUUCAUGGUUAAAUUGGACUUUAAGAUCUGGCUAAAAAUUCUGCAAGCAUGUCAUAUCACUAGAGUCAACAUAAAAUGUACUGUAUAAAGAAAGCAAACAAACAACACAUGUUUAAAAUACAAAGAAAAAUAGGACACUUCAUUUAGUUGAAACAAAAGAUAGAAGGAUUUGAACAUAAACGACAAAAGGACAAAACAAGAUAGAUCCUAAACUACAACUCUAAAAUGAUUCAGAUAACAGAAAAUAAAACAAAACAAACUACCAGACCUCUUCCUAGUAGGGAGAGAGGUGACUUUUCAAUUGCUCAGCCUGACAACUUAGCCAUUGAUUUGCAUAUCAGCAUGACUAGAGCUUCUCUCAUUGUCAAUGUUCUGCACCAUAAUUGAUCCAUCUUGAAUUAUCUUUUCAAUUUCUCUUUUCAAAUCUCGACAAUCUUCAAUACUAUGACUCUGAGCAUCAGAAUGAUACGCACAUCGUACAUUAGGAUCAAAAUUUCUUGAACUCCGAUUAAGAGUGCACCCCAGGAGAGAAGUGAUCAUGCCCCAUUGUACCAAUCUCUGAAAUAAACUGGCAUACGACUCUCCAAUUGGUGUGAAGCUAUCUCUCGACUUCUGCCUUAUUUCAUUGUUUGGCUUGGAUAGAAAAUCUGGCCUAGAAGGGCAUUGGUAUAUUUGUAGAGUAAGAGGAUGACUUUGGGGCAUUGGGAAGAGGAUGACUUUGGGGCAUUGGGGUAUGCCAUUGUAGGUAAGAUUGGGGUUGAACAUAUGGUUGUGCAUUAAACAAUGGAUAUGGAUGUGGAGGAACAGAGUAUAAUGGAUUUUGAGAGCGAUUAUGUGAAACUUGGGUAUGAACUUAGGUUUGAGCCUGAGAGUGACAACGACAGGGUCUUCUUGAUCUUUCCUGAUGUCCAACUACAAUAGCAGAUGCAUCUUCCUCAUUCUUUUUCUCCCCAACACUUCUUGAACCCUUUUGAAUUUCUUGAGUUGUCGCUUUCAAUAUUGCAAAACUCACAAUGCGACCAGUCUUAAAUCCCUCUUCUAUCAUCUCCCCCAUUUUAAGGACCUCAAUAAAUGACUUACCUAAUGCAGGUAACAAGUGUUGAUAAUAUGUUUCAUCCAGCGCUUGAAUAAACACCUUCACUAUUUUGCUUUUUUUUUAUUGGCGGUUUUACUCUAGCAGCUUGUUCACGCCAUCUGAUCGCAUACUCCCUGAAACUCUCAAUAUUCUUUUUUUUAUACUAGUUAGGGAUUUUUCGUCAGGGACCAACUCCACAUUGUAUUAAAAUUGUUGCACAAAUUCGUUAGCUAGGUCAUCCCAACUAAUCCACUUGUCAAUGUCUUAGUCAACAAACUAUUUCAAAGCUAGGCCUGAAAGACUCUCCUCGAAAUAAGCCAUGAGUAGUUCUUCCUUCCCUCCAGCGCCCCUUAAUUGGUUACAAUAGCACCUCAAAGGUGUCACUAGGUCCCCAUGUCCGUCAUACUUCUCAAACUUUUGCAUUUCAAAGCCAGGAGGAAGGUUGACACCUGGAAACAUGCAUAAGUCCUUAUAUGAGACAUUUUUGUAACCCCCAAGUCCUUGCAAGUUCUUCAUAGCCAGUUGCAAACUUCUCAAUUUUCUGGUUAUUUCCUCUUGUUCUUCUGUCAUAACAGGCUUCUCAGUGUUAGGAGUAAAUUCAGGCGGGUGAGUGUCACUGUAAAGACCAGUCAACUUGAAUAUAGGCUAGGAAGUGUAAUGCUGAUCGCCAGUAAUAUUCAAUGCAAACUCUCUUGUAGAGUAGGAGGCACAACUCGUGGAUGAACAUCAAAAGUAGGAGCUUCAAGUGGGGGGGGAGGGGGGGCACCGUAAAAGCAUGAACAACAGGUGGAGUAGAGUAUGUGGUAGUGUUGGAUUGGGGAGUGAGAAAAUGAACAUUGGAAGUGGUUGGAUAUUGUUGCCCCGGAGUCGAUCCUGAUGCAUGUUGUGGAAUAUCAACCAAAAUAGGGAAUUGUGCAUAUGACACUGGAGGCAAACUAGAAAGAUAUUUCAGAUUAUCAGCGGGGAAUGGAGGAGGCGACAACCCAUUAGCCCAAGCUCGAUGCAUUUCUAUCAUUUGUUGCCUUAAUUUUUGAAUCUCUUCAUUAGCUCUUAUAUUCUCAUUCCCCGAGCUCCCUAUCUGAUUAGUGACAACUAACUCGGUAUCCUUGUUGGCCAUAACUUUCUCUGUGACUUGGAGCAAUAUGGAGGACCAACCAAAAUGCCACAAACCAACCACUUUAAACUAACUGAGCAAGUGAUAGCAAAUGCGUUAGAAUUCAACACUUUUUUUUUCAAAACUUUUUUUUGCUUUUUGAAAAGGUCACCGAACCCAAGAGGGGUGCCUACAUAUCUCACCCCCAAAAGAGUAGAAUCAGGUGUGCGUAGUUCGUGAAGUCUUGCCAAAAUGGUCAAUCAAACUCUUUUUUUUCUUGAAGCAAAGUGUCAAAAGAAUUGACAAAAUCUUUUUUGCAUUUUUUAGGUUUAAAUCUCUAUACAAAAUGAAACCUAUGAUUACCAAAGAAAAAUCUUUUUUGGGUUUUCAAUUUUGAAUUUCAUAUGAAAAUGAAACUUGAACCUAUUAAAAGAAAAUCUUUUUGCAGUUUUCUUUUAAAGAUGUAUACGAAACACUUACUCUAAAUAAAGAAUGAAGAAAAUCUUUUUGAAUUUUUCAAAUAAGAUCCCCGAACCAACAAUAGGUUGCCUACGUAGCUCAAUCCCGAGAGAGGAGAAUCAGGGGUGCGUAGUUCAUCCAGAUUGGACAAUUAAGGAUUAUAGAACAAACAAAACCUUGACUUGAGAGACACGAUUGCAUGAUGAAAAUAAAAUCUUUUUGGGUUUUUAAUUUGACACUUCAUACAAAAUUGACACCAACAACUAUGAAAGAGAAAAGAAAUCUUUUUGGUAUGUUUGUUAUAUGAGAUGUACAAAUCUCCUACCAUCUUUUUUACAUUUUUUCUUUAUAAAAGCUUCAAUUAAAAAAUCUUUUUGAAAUUUUCGAAUUAUAAAUGCAGGGUAAAGGAACAAAAGGAAAUAUUUUUGAUGUUUUUGAGAAAAUGAGUGCGAAAGGUAAAAAAAUCUUUUUGAAUUUUUGAAUUGUGAAAAACAAAAGCCAUAAAAAACUACGAAACUCUUUUUUUUUUUUGACUCACUGGCUCUUCUAUUUUUUUCAACAAUUCUUGCCUACGCCCUUUACUUCUAACACAUGCUUUCCCCAAAUCAAUCUAUCAAAUGACCACGUUACCCUCAAAGAUGCAACAUUUAGCACGUAGGGAUGCUUUAGAGGUGAGUCUCCUACAAAGGGUCAGGUGGGUCUCGCUAGGUCUCAAUAUGAUGCAGAUAAGCAUGACUUAAUGACCGACCUAUGCUGGGGUCCACUAACAAGGCUGUUGAGGGAUUGUAUGGUCGAUAGUGGAUUGAUUUAGCUGUCCACCUACUCCAUACAACCCAAAGGCUCCCCCUCCUAAAAUAAGGGUGACUCAACUUUAGGUCGUGUACACACGUGUACUAUAGACUUGUUGCAGAAAGAAAGACUCGAGUUAUACACAUGAUGCCAGAUAUAAAGCGGUAAUACAUAAAGUAAAAACUGUAAACAAAGAGCACGUAGGAACUCAACAAUGAUAAACAAUAACACAAAACAACACAAACAAAAUGUCUAUACACCUAUAGUGCCAAACUAAGCCGAUACAAAUCCAAAAUAAGCUCGAAUUCUGAAAAUCCCCCAGUAGAGUCGCCAGAGAUGUCACACCCCUUUUUUACCUAAAAAGAUUGAUUUUAAACGUUUGAAAGGGUUUUUAUUAUUAAAGUGACAAAGGAUUAAAAAUUUAUUUCGAAAAAAGACUAUUUAUAUUUUUUAUUCAGAGUCGCCACUUGGCAUAAUCCGGUGUGUCAAGUCACCUUUGGAAAAUCCUUUUCAAAACUGUUUUGACUCUUUUAAAACUGGUUUGCGAACAGAGAUUCCGGCUAAGGAAUUUUGUUGACCGAGGGGAAGGUGUUAGGCACCCCUUGAUCCCGUGGUUCGACCACGGUCGCUUGGUGGAGCGUAUCGGCCAAUUCGACACUAAACAUGUAUAGACCAUAUAAACACACAACAAUCAAACAAACAAACACAAACAAAAACAAAUCCCAAAAAUAUAAUGUUCAGUCCAAUUAUACAGUCCAAAAAUAGAAAAAUACGAAAAAUGUAAAUCCUAUUCUAAACUAAUCCUAGACUAAGCUCCAUUGCUUUCCCCAAUCGACGUUUCGGGCCUUGAUCGCGCACCAUCUUCAAGUACAUGAUACUUCGGGGCAUUCCCCGGAUAAUUACAAAAUCCUUGGGACAUUCCCCGACCAAAUAAAUACAAUAGACCCCAAUGCAUAAAUGAAAACCAUUCCACAAACAUUUCAUCAUUCAACAAUCACAAAUCCUAAGCUUUGCCUACUCAACCUACGUUUGACUAUUCAACUUUCGGCCUAAAAUAUGCUCCUAUCGAGUUCACAAACUUGAGAUUUAUUCCAAAUUAAACAGAAACAACAAUGAAUCAAAAUCGACCAAAAUUCACCCUUUUAUCAAUUUCUAAAUUUCCGCUCCAAAAAAUAUCAAUUUUAAUUCUCAAACGAGAUACCAUUUCAUCCCGUAAUCCAUAACCAAAAAAACUAAACAACCAACAAUUCACAUCAACACAGAUCAACCAACACGAUAUUCAAUUUAAUGCACCGGAUAUCAUCAACAAUGAAAUAAAAAGAGGUGAAAGAGUAGAAUUGGACCUCAUUUGAAGCUUUCAAAUUCAAUAUUACUCUAAUAAAGAGACGAAGGCCGCAACCGGAGACCUCGAAUUGAACCUCGGCAACGACUGCCAACUCGAAUUAAAAAUCCUCAACUUACGAACCUAAAUCCCGCAGUAAUUUCCCUCAAACCGAUUUAGAACUAAAACUCACAAACAAAAAAAAACAACGACACCCCAAAUCUAACCACACAUUCAAACAAAGACCAUGAUUUUGAAUCACUUAUAUCGACUGAGAUGAGAUAAGGUGACGACAGGCUUGUGGGUGGUGUUUCCCGGUGGUUUGAACGGAGCAAUCAGCUGGAAUUAUUGUUUGUUUCUAUUUUCCAGCGAUGGUUUGGCUGGAGCUAUCCACGGUUUUAUUGUCGCCUAGUCGGAGCUCCGGUGAGCUUCGACGACGAUUCGAACAGUGACGGGAGCCAUAGUUUCGGCGAGAAUGUCACCAGAAAAUUGAGGAUCGAUUUGUGUCUUUUUUUUUUGUUUCUCCAAUUUUCUCACUGUCUCUCUCUCGAUCUCUAUCCCUUUCCCGAUCUGUGUAUGUAUCGUGAGUGUGUGUAUGCGUGUUUUCUAUGCCAAAGAAGAAGAGAACGUAGAUAUUCUCCUUUUUCAUGUGUUCUCUCAAUAUUGUUGAAGGAAUCGUGAUUGUCUAUUGUGGAGAAUAUGAUGAUGAAAAAAUGAGCCUCCCCCUUUUCCCCUUUUAGAAUUUUCCAUUUAUAUAUUUUAUUUAGUUUUUCUUUUUCUUUAUUUAUUAUCCUACGUGGAAGCAUAUAAUUGGUGACUUGAGAGAAUAAGUGUGUGGCAUGUGUAAAAGUUAGUGUGGCAUGUGGAAAUAUGAGGGUGGCGUGUGAAAAAAUGAGUAGGUCGUGUGCCUUUUGCAUGUAUUCAAUGAAAAAUGAAAAGUGAGAUGUUGAGGUGGCAUAGUGAGGUGGCAAAGAUGCUAUGUAUUUAAUUAUUUUCAAUUCUUUUUUUUUGGGAGAAACUAUCAAUUAAAAAAAAGUACGGUAAGGUGAAUAAAAUAAAAAUAAAAAUAAAAAUUAAUAAAAUAAAAUAAAAUAAAAAUGAUUAAAAUAUUUUCGGGAAAGGACAAAAUUACGUGUCUACACGUGGUAGUGUCAAAUCUUGCUCGUGGGGCAUAAUUUGUAGUUUGAAAGUCCUUGAGCUAAGUCUUGCCUCUAAGACAAUAGUUGUAGAACAUCUCAUAAAUGAAAACAUAACAUGAUAGAGUCAACUCUUGCUCAUGGGACAUAAUUUGUAGUUUGAAAGUCCUUAAGCUAAUUAAGUCUUGCCUCUAAGACAAUAGUUGUAAAAACAUGUCAUAAAUGAAAACAUAACGUGGUAAAGUCAACUCUUGCCCGUGAGACAUAAUUUGUAGUUUGAAAGUCCUUGAGCCAAAACUUACCUCUAAGGCAAUAGUUGUAGAACAUCUCAUAAAUGAAAAUAUAACAUGGUAAAGUUAACUAUUGCCCGUGGAGCAUUAUUUGUAGUUUGAAAGUCCUUGAGUCAAGUCUUGCCUCUAAGGCAAGAGUUGUAAAACAUUUCAUAAAUGAAAACAUAAUGUGGUAGAGUCAACUCUUGCCCGUGGGGCAUAACUUAUUAUUUGAAAGUCCUUGAGUUAAGUCUUGCCUCUAAGGCAAUAGUUGUAGAACAUCUCAUAAAUGAAAAUCUAACGUGGUAGAGUCAACUCUUGUUCGUGGGGUAUAAUUUGUUGUUUUGAAAGUCCCUGAGCUAAGUUUUUCCUCCAAGGUAAGAGUUAUAAAACAUCUCAUAAAUCAAAAUAUAAUGUGGUAGUGUCGACUUUUGCCCAUGAAACAUAACUUGUUGCUUGAAAGUCAUAAGUCUUGUCUCUACAAUGUAGCAGUAUCAACUCUUGCCCAUGAAACGUAGCUUAUUGUUCGAAAGUCGUAAGUCUUGCUUUUAUAAUGUGAUAGUGUCAACUCUUGCUCAUGAGAUGUAACUUGAAUGGAAGAAAUUGAAGAAAAGUACAAAAAUAAUAAAAAUUGCGAAAAAAGAAGAAAAUGAAGAAAAAUAUUAAAAAAAACAAAAAUCAAUGAAAAUGUAGAAAUUGAGAGAGAAUAGGAAAAAAAUAAAGGUUGAUUAAAAAAAAAGAUUAACAAAAUAAAAGUCGAGAAAAAUUUAAAAAGAAAAAAAUCAAAGAAAAAUAAAAAUAAAAAAUUUUAAAAUAAAAGUAGACGUUAAAAGGUGUAAAAAAAAGUAAGGGUUGAGAAAAACUAAAAAUAAUAAGAAAAGAGAGGAAAGAAAAAAUAAAAAAUAUAAAAAAUAUAAAAGAAAAAAGAAAAAACUUGAGAGGAAAAAGGAAAAAAGUAAGGGUUGAGAAAAUAAAAAAUAAAAAUCAAAGUAAAAUUAAAAUUAAAAAGAGAAAAAAAAUAAAAAUUGAAAGAUAUAAAUAUGGAGUUGUUAUUUAUUAUCCGAUCAUUUCUAUAACUACUUCAUUGAUCAGGAGCAAUUUUGUCCAAAAGAAUAUUAGUUUAUAGAUAAGGCUAUUUUAAGAAUUUUUUUUUUAUUUGGAGCUAAAAUUUGAAAGUCACCCCAAUUUGGGUCUAUUUUUUAGAUUCACCCUUAUAUAAAAGUCUUCAAAUAAAUAAAAAUUCCUCCUAUAACUACUUGCAUGUUGUAGACUACACAAAUUUAAAAACUUCCUCUCUAUGUAUUAAUUUGGUAAUUAAAUUGAAAAACUCCAACUAUGAAAGGCCCCUACCUAGAACAAAAACGUUUGCAGUUUGAAACACCACAAAAUAAUAAAGAAAUUUGGAGGAGUUAAAGAUCAAUAAUUUGAAGACGACGGACUAUUCAAUUGCUUUGAGUGCAAUUAAUCACAAAUUUAGGUGAGGACAGAUUAAACAAUAAAAAUAGAAUUGUUCAACUUUCAAACAGUUACUCCCUCCGUGUAAAAUAUUUAUCAACUUCUAAAGAUAUCCAUCCUAAAAUAUUUAUUAAUUUCUAAAAUCAAGAUAGAAUUAAUUAAAUUUUAUUUAAUUUUAAAGUAAAUAAUAAAUUAGUAAAAAUAAGUUUUACUUGAGAUUUUUUAAAAGGCGUGUGAAAAAGAAAUGUGACACUAAUAUAGAUAGAGAAGUACAAAGUUGUUCCUUUUUUUUUUUUUUUUUUUUUUUUUUUGAGUUCGAUCAGAAAAAGCAUAUAACCAGCAUGAAUUGUGGUAUAGUGAUGAGAUCACUCUAUUCUUAAUCAGAAGUUUCGGGUUCGAGCCCUGAGUUUAGAGACAAUCUUGUUGGGAGUGCUACUCCUAGCAUGGGCCCUGCAACACGCGGUCUAGGCUAGUCGAGGCUCCAAUGCGGGCACCGGACAACGGAUUAAAAAAAAGGGCAUGUAUAAUUAUAUUUUAAGAAAAUAAGGGGGAUUUCUUAUUGGAUGAGAAGUACUUGGCAGUUGAUCAGUUGGUUGAAAUUAAUGACACAUUUUCCCUUUUCUGGCUCAUUUUCUGCUUUUUACUACUAUGUCUUUAUUGAUAUUUAUUUCUAAAUUAAUGUAUAAUGUAUUGCUAGGUGCCUCCAUUCUUUUUCUGGAUUUAUGAUUAAGGCGACUACUCAUACAAAUUGUUGGCUUGCGCACUUAUAGUAGUGUUAGAAAUAAAUAUUUCUAACAAUUUAUGAACCUUGUAAUAAAAGUUGGAUGAAAUAUGGGAAGAAUCAUAAUCAAUGCCUCAAAAUAAUAUCGACCCAAAAUUUAAAAUUAACUUAAAUAUUAAUCCAUUUUUUCAAAGAAAGGACUAAUAGAAAGUGUGCAGUUCAACCACCCAAAUUAAGACAGAUUUAUGAAUUGUUGUAAGAAGUUCAAAGGAGUUGGUUAUAUGUGGUUAAUGUGGAUGCCAUGUUGAUAGUGUAUGAAAAAAUUAUGAGUGUAAAAGUCUAAGCACGUUGUUAUUGAUAGUGAAAAUUAUGUUCUAGAGGAUAGACUAAUCACCAAAUGAAUGAUUAUAUUAUAGUUGGACCAUUUUAUAGGAUAUUUACUGCUCCCAACCAGAAUAAGUGUUAGUAAUUAACUCUAAUCAUUACACUUUGUUAAAUAUACAACAACAAAAUAUCCAUUAAAUUCCCACCUAGUGAGGUCUGAGGAGGGUAAAAUGCACACAGUUCAUAUCACUUAUCCCAAAAACAUAAAGAGGUUGUUUCCAAUAGACCCCCGACACUUUAUUAAAUAUAUGAAAAAAAAUUCAUUUAGCAUUUAGUAUAAUAUUGCAUGAUUAUUAUUCACUUUAUUGAUUCUUAUAUACAGAGGCGGAGCUAGCCUUCUUUAGGGGGUUCGGUCGAACCCCAUUGACGGAAAAAUAUACUAUUUAUACAUGAUUAAAAUUAUUUUUUUAUGUGGUUAUAAUAGGUGUUGAACCCCCUUCAACUAAGUUUUCUUUGAAUAUUGAACCCCUUUAGUGAAAAUCCUGGCUCCGCCUCUACUUAUAUAUUGCGCUUGACUGCAAAUUACAAUUCUAACCAUAUUAUUACGACGAUCGACUGGAAUAGUUAAUUUAUAUUUCCCCCAUUUCUCCUUUAGUUAUGUUAGGAACGGCAAAAAUAGCCAAAGAACGAGAAUUAUUAUUAAAUAUUAUUCGAUGUGUUACGAUCUAUAAGCCUAUAACAACGAAGGAGAAGGGUAAAUUUUUUGUAAUUAAAUAAAUUAUUAAAAAAAUUAAAACUUAGUAAGAAUCAGCUAAGUUGAAUUAUCACCUAUUAUGUAUUUAGCCAUCAUAAUUCAGUUUAGCUCAACGCAGCUAAUAUUUGGGUAGGAUUAAUGUCAUUUGUUUGCUAAGCUCAUCAUAAUCCGUCCAAAUUUAACCAAAUUGAUAUAAAGUGUAUAGCAUGGUAGGGUUGGACCUUCGUUGCAUGCCAUGUCCUAUAAGUAUUAAACUAGACCUACCCAUAAAUUAUGGCUUGAUUGACUGUACAAUUGUCCACUAGAAAUGUGGUGGGUGGGGGUACCACAAAUAUAAGACCUAGACCUAGCCGCAAUUACACAUAGAGGCUUUUUUUCCACCCGAUUCGAUAUUUGUAUUGGAAUCCCGACUAAUCUGGAUCGCAUAUUGUAGGACCUAUUUUGGGGGUGACGCUCUCAACAGGAUUUUCUCCGUACCCAAAACUCGAACCGAAAAUCUCUGAUUAAAGGUGGAGUAGUCCCACUACUACUACACCACAACUCAUGUUGGUAAUUAUUACACGGAGAGUUGUUUAAACUAACUAACUACUCUUUUUUGAAAUUACCACAUAAGAGUUGUUUAAACUAAUUAACUACUCUUUUUGAAAAAACAAAAGAAAUUGAGGGCAGGGGAUUAUCAAAAUUGAACCCUUACUGAUAAGUGACAAGGUAAAAGGAUUGACAGUUUUAGGAACAGAGGUAGUACUAAAAUUUCCCUAACUAUUCCUCUUACUUUUAUCUUAUGAAUAUAUAUAUAUUGUACAAUGUAUUUUUCUUUUCAAAUUUAUUAAUAGUUGUGAGAAAUUGUAUAGAGAUUUGAUUUUUUUUGGGAUGUUUUUUGGAAAUGGACAGCUUGAUUUACUAUGCAUUCUGAUUUGAAGAAGGACCGCAUCCCUUAGGAGUUAGGGGUGUUCUAGCAACAAAAUUUGAUUAAAAGUUCAACACAACUUCAAAUUAUUUGCGAAGACAUGCUAAUAUCUAUUUGUUCUAAUAGUAAUAAUCUUUGAUUGAGUACACUAAAGGAUACGGAGUGAGUGUACUUUGUGAACAAAUGUUUUUCAAAAUUCAAUAAAUUGGUGUAUAUUCCACAAAUAUUUUUCAAAAUUCAAUAAAUUGGUGUAUAUUCUAUUUUUUUCAUACUCCAGUUAUGAGACUAUUGGGUGUGUUGUAGUAAUAAAAUUCAUAAACAUGAUUACUUACGAAGUUGGAUUUCAAAAUCCAUAUUCUUUGACUAAGAAAAGGAGGAACAACUAAAAUUUUGCCCUAAUCAAGCUCCAUUCUAUUAAAUGGACUAAUAAGAAGCACAUUCACAUGAUUUGAUAGUAGUUAAUUAGGGGGUGAUUAGGCCACAUAUCUUGGGAUACACAGCAGAAAGGGGACAAUUAGUUUUCUUAAACUAAACUUUAUUGUCAACCUUUGUUAUAUAUAGUAUUUGACACAAACAAAAGAAAUAAACAAACUAAAAACAAAACGCCAAACAAAAGUACCCAACACCAACACUUUGACCAAUCAACUAUCUCUCUUUCCUUUUAUCUUGGGUUUAGUAAUUAGUUGCGUGAUUAGCGGACAGGGAAAUUGCUAAGUCCACUAAGUUUUUUUUUUUAAUUAGCACCAAGAAAUUGGAUGAAAUUUUAUCUUUGCUAAAAUUGAAAAUGUUAGUAUAUUUAUUUGGACAAAAGAUCAGUAGAAUUUCUAAAGUCUUACGGUCUUUAUAUUAGAUAAUUCAAGAAAAAUGAGUCAAUCUAGGAGACAAUUAUGGAGAAAUUAGAAUGUUUUCAUUUUCAAAUAUUCAUUCAUAUAGUGCCACUUAAUUGUUUUACUUGUAUGCACAAUUAAGUUUAUCACUAGUGUUACCAUUUUGAAUCGUAGGUGUCAUUAUACACUAACCUAUUAUCUGAUUAGUAUCAAAUUUUGCAAUGUGGCAUUUCCAAAUCCUUCGUUACUUACCAUCCUCUUUCCUGUGGCAUUUCCAAAUCCUUCGUUACUUACCAUCGUCUUUCCCUUUCUUUUAUUUGUUUUUUCAUCCGGUGUUCGGUACCCGCAUUGGAGUCUGACUAAUCUAGAUUCGCCACUUCCCUGCCAAGAAUUUUUCCAUAUCCAGGAUCGAAUCCUAGACCUCUAGUUAAGGGAGGAGCAGUCUCAUCCGCUGCACCACAUCCUUUGGUGGUUGUUUUAUAAAUACACCAUUCACCCUUUUUAUGAGUGACAUAUAUGAAUUAUUUUGUUUAUUGGAUUUGGCAAUUUGAACUUUGGCACCAACACAUCACGACCAUAGUAACACCUAAAAUUCCACCACUAACACACACAUUUAAUAAUUCACACACCCAAAACUUUCCAUACUGAAAUAAAAUUCAUAUUGACAAAGGAAUAUAAUGGAGGAUUCGGUGAGGCUAGUUGCACCAUGUCAUUUUCACUAUUGAAGAGCAUGUGCAACUUUGUCUUAAUUCAGCAGAAACUCACAUGCAGGGUCAACAUUAGAGGUUUACAAUUCCUUAACUGAAAUGGAAAGAAGCAUAUCCAUACAAAAUAUAUAUAUAUAUANNNNNNNNNNNNNNNNNNNNNNNNNNNNNNNNNNNNNNNNNNNNNNNNNNNNNNNNNNNNNNNNNNNNNNNNNNNNNNNNNNNNNNNNNNNNNNNNNNNNNNNNNNNNNNNNNNNNNNNNNNNNNNNNNNNNNNNNNNNNNNNNNNNNNNNNNNNNNNNNNNNNNNNNNNNNNNNNNNNNNNNNNNNNNNNNNNNNNNNNNNNNNNNNNNNNNNNNNNNNNNNNNNNNNNNNNNNNNNNNNNNNNNNNNNNNNNNNNNNNNNNNNNNNNNNNNNNNNNNNNNNNNNNNNNNNNNNNNNNNNNNNNNNNNNNNNNNNNNNNNNNNNNNNNNNNNNNNNNNNNNNNNUAUAUAUAUCAGAUAGAAGUUGGAUGUUUGUUGGAUUUAUUGGUUGCCUUCAACUAAUGUUCACUUGUGUCUGUCUACUUCAACACUAUUAAGCUAGAAACCGUGUCUUGUUUUCUUGAUUAAUUUGAUUGUUAUUAUUUAAAACUACAACCUGGAUGAUUAAUUGCUUAAUGUCUAAUCUUUAGUCUUUCCGUCCAUCUUUACUCAUCCAUAUUUUAGUUGGUAGACUCCUUAAGAAGCAAUAAAUAAGAAAGUAAUUUUACUAGGAGGCGUGACUAGCUUUGUGGAGUAGUAGUUUGAUUAUUGCGUUUAUUUAGAAGUCAAUAAGUUAACGUGCAGUCCAUUUUUAGAUUCGGAUUUUUUAGGAGAGUAAACAUGGUUUUUUUUUUUUUUUUUUUUGCAUACUAGUUUCGUCUAUUUAAAACUCAUGUAAUAGAGUACUUUGUAGCUUCAAUACAGAGAGAAAUUCCACACUUGCGAGUCUCUUCUCUUCAUUGUUAUUAAGGCAAUGACAGUUACCAAUUGUACAUCUGCAAAUUGGUGACUUUGGGAACAAAAGCACCUAAAUUAUACCAACGCCUUGGAAAGUAUAUAUGAUCCUCAGAAAUAUAGUUGUAUGAGUAGGCUACAUCUUACUACACCUACUACUGCAUAACAUAAAUUCGCAUAAGCAAAUGAUAAAAGUUACGUGGAAACAGCCUAUUGCUAAAAAACAAGAUAAGACUGUAUACAAUAAAUCGUCGUAUUCGGCCCUUCUCCAUACCCUCAGGAGAUUUACUGCACCAGACUACACUUUUUAAAUGAUAUUUGAAUGUAAACUAUGUACAAACGCGUUCUUUCCUCUUGUGUUUAAUCUGUUUCAACUCACAUACUCAAGGAUCUUGGGUCGUUUGGUAAGGUGUAUAGGAUUAUUAUGUUAUCAUAUAAAACUUGCAAUUAGGUCAAUGAACAUCUUAUUAUUCAAUUAGAAUCAGAUACAUAUAUCCACUAGUUUAGAUUAAAGAACAUAAAACUAGAACAGUCCUAUUACAAAAACAAGCUCAAAAAUCAAGAAUCUAGUUAUCUACGCCCUCAAUUGGAAAAGGGUUCCACAACAGAAGAGAGAACAACAAGACAUUAGGCACUAGAAAUGGAAUAAAAGGGUUCACAUCACUCCUAAAAAGCCUCCUUUUGAACCUUUUCCUCACAUACUGUCUCCUCUCUUCAUCUCCCCACUGAGCUUCCUCCACUCCCCUGGCCAGUAUCAAUGGAGGGGGUUGUAGAUAUGGGCAUUUGGACCUCCAAGAUGUUUCAGGUGCACCAAGUCUUGAAACCUUUUUGAGGAAAACUGAGAAAGCCCAUCUCAUAUACACAGAAGGGAAAGUGGUUGUGGAAUAUUUGGUGCACAGAAUUGGUGGAUAGUCCCAAUUGAGGUAACAGGGGACAUGGUUAGAAAUGAAGAUUUGGGAUUCAAAAGAUGGUUUGGUUGUGGGAUCGAGUAUGAUGUGUGUUAAUGCUUGGAUUCUCUGAUCCCAUGUUGUGUCUUCCAUUUCUUUGUUAUCAUUGUUUUCUUGUUGACAGCAGAAUGGUUUAUCCUUAGCUAAGCUUUGGAUGAGAAUCAGGCAUGUGGAUGUGAGGGAACAGCAAGAGUUGCUUUUGGCCUAUUUCAGUUUGACCCUCAUAGGUUAUGAAUAUUUCAAAGUUGGCCCUCCAGAGUGUUGAAUGUAUAAAAUUUCUCUCAAGACUUAAAAUAACUCAAGAGUCGGAUAUCUAUCUAAUCAUAUUAAUCAACGACAACAACAAACUCACUAUAUUCCCACAUAGUGAGGUCUGAAGAAGGUAAGAUGUAUGCAGUCCAUACCUCUACCCCGGCUCGAGACAUCUAAUCAUAUUAAUCAAGGUUUAGAUUUGUAAUAUAAGGAAAAUAAAAAUAAAUACCAAUACAAAGUUUCCCUAGAGAGACGACUACAAUUUUGUAUUAGAAAAUCAUCGACCAUCUUCAACCAUUUUUUAAGUUCUUCAAAAAUAUACUUGCAGUAUAGUUUCCCAAUCUAACAUCGAUCCUGAAAGUAAUCAGCUCAGGUGUUGGAAUGAACCUUUCAUUAGCAUUAGCAUUAUCAUACUAUAUUUAUAUGGAAGAUCGAAUGAAAAGAGCAAUAGAAGAUAGCUCUCUUGUGGUUUGGCAGAGCUUGGAGAUACAUGUGGAACUUUGAUAACAAAAUCACCAGUUUUACAUUCAUGAAACCUGGUAGUUAGACCUUAGUUGCUGAUAAUUAAGCUAUGAUACUUUCCACAUCCAUAGAUCAACUAUUACCAAGAGUAAUCACAAGGUGAAAUGACUUCUAGAGGUGAUUAUUUACACAGUUCUACAAGAGAAACAAUUUCACGUGCUGAUGAUUUGUUUCUUUUCAUGCAUAUUCCUUGCUACCAUGUGCUAAUGAUUUGGUAAAUCAAUAGUUUCUCCACAGGCCAUGAACAGGCUGUCGACCUUCAAGGUUGUCUUAGAAGAAAAGGUGACAAUAAACACUAUUCUCACCUUCAUCCUUGGUGCAAUACCAGCAAUUUCCAUCACUUUUUUUAAAUCAGUCUACCUGAAGUGUGAGAAGAGAAACGUGAAUGCAAUAUAAAUUGGAAACACGAUCAGAGCUGAGGCCUGCAAAAUUAGAUUUCCAUAAACGAGGACAGAAGUUAGAGAAUUAUUUAUUGACAUGCAGAGUUCAAUAAAAUUCACAUAGUUGGCAGUAUCAAGAUCCUUACCACUAAGAACACCACUUCUUCAUUCGCUAAAGCCCCAGGGAGUUCGUUCCUUUCCAUUUCCUGCUUUACAAACCUCUGCAGCUGCAUAGUACUUAAGUUGUCAGAAGUUCAUAUCAUUGUUCUGAGGAUGUACAUCCAACAACAACUAAAUAAUCAGGGUGAAGUUUCCAGUUACUAACUUGGAUAUCAUAUCAAUAUAUGUGAUUGUGUUUAUGUGUGUGUGUGUGUGGAGAGAGAGGCCCGGGGGGGCACACAUUAUAAAUCAGUAUUUCAUUAAAUAAUAGACCAAGAAGCUAAGGUGUUAACUGUACAAAAGUGGUAUCUCCAUGUCCACUAAGCUCCAGAAAGUCUAUUGUUUCAGACCCUACUUUGAACGUACUCCAGUUACCAACAUAAAUAUCAAACACAAAUAUUUAUCAUGAUAUUGCUCAAUCAAGAGGAAGAAAAACUAAGCAUUGGACAGAUGAAAAAACUGAUGUAAAAUAUCACCUCAGAAAGUUAUCAACCAGCAAAGACCACUAAUUAAUCCCCACACUCCAAAUUAAGGAAAUUUGAGUACCUUGUAAUGGUAUUGUUUUGCAGAUGAAAAGGCCCCCCGCAAGUGAUGCAAAGCUUGAGCCCAGUAGGAAUUAGGAUCAGCCGCACUGUAUGAUCCAUAUGGAUGCAGAAUUCCCUUCAACGUCUCGAGGUGGUGGCCGAAAAGGUUUUUGAUGAACUGGAGAUCACAAGAGUGUUAGUUCUCUUCAGAGAAAAUGACAAGAGUAAUCAUGGAAAGCUCCAUAUACAAUGUUCCAAAGCAAGCUAGGAAAAUUUUAUGACUUCCAAUACCUCGACAAAUGGACAUUUACUGAAUGUUAGUUGCCUUUUGACCUUCGGUGCUCUCAUCUGACAUAUAAAGUUCUGAUUUAGGUUUGGCUGCAGCUUUAUUGUAGUUUUAAUAGUAAAUUCAAGCCAAGGUUUAAACAAGAAGAUACCUCUGUCAUUUGAACAGCUUGUUCAAGUUGUCGUAUCUGAAUCCAUUUUUCGGAUAUAAUGUCCGCCAUCUGUCAACAAAGUUAAAAGUUCAUCAACGAAAGAUUGCAGAAAUCAUAAUAUGCUCUUUUUUGCCACAUCUCGACUAAAAGUAAAUGCCUAGCUGGUCAUUACCUUCUCAUUUCCUAAGAAAAAAAGUAAGCACAAGAAAACCUAUUAAGAGGACAAAAGUACACUUAUCCUUUUCUACCAUUUCUUUUUCUUUGAAUGCUAUAAUUUUCCUAUAUAAUCAUAUAGUGUAUAUUGUUGAUAGUCACGAGAAUGCCAAUUGUCCAAAACCAAGAAAACCGUCAUCACUCUUGACAUCUUGUUAUCUUUCCUAUUCCUGCUCUGCUCCUAUGCAUGAAAUAAGAUCCCGUCCAAGAGCUUUGGUCUAGUGGUAAGAGUGAAAGGCGUGAUGUGUUGGUUAGGCAAACAUCACAGGUUUAAACCGUGCCCCUGACAGAAAUCUAGUACUUAUGUGGAGAAGAGAAGAGGGCAGGCCCAUUAUCCAAUGAGUUUUGAACUGAGCUUCAUGGGUCUUGGGGUUUAUAGGUUAUAAUAGUAAAAAGAAGACGGUUUUUUCAACUGAAGAGAAAUCUUAAGCGUCAUGAACCUAGUAUACAAUAAAGAUGUUUCAAAAUACUUCUACAAAAAUCUCAUUCUCAUGAUGCUGAAAGAAUACUCAACAUUUAAAAAUUUACUUUCUUCCACUUGACCUUCACAAGAGAAAUAUUAAAGGGGCAGCCCAAUGUACUAAGCUCCUGCUAUGUGCUGGGUCCAGGGAAGGGCCGAACCACAAGGAUCUAUUGUACGCACCCUUACCCCACAUUUCUGCAUAGGAGAAAUAUUAAUAACUGAAACUGUUUACUCAUGGCUUUAGCAAACCUACCUUUUCGACUUGAGAUGUAAGAAUUUCUAAUCUUUUCUCCGCAUCUUGCGCUUUGAACUCCAAUUCAUGAAUUUCAAAGUUGUUUUUUCUUGCCGCAUCCCAAAGCAGUUGUACCUACUCAAUUCCUUCAUCUUUAUAAGAUGAGAAGCUGUAUGGAGAAAAAAAAACUGUGAUAACGUGGCAAUCAUACCUUUUCUUCUAGAGCAUUAAUCCUUGAUGAGUGAUGCUGACAAAAAGAGAAAAAAGAUAGCAUUUAUGAGGAAUGGAUGUGUAUCCUUUUAUUUUUUUUGAUCAAGUAAAAGUAUUUUCAUUCAUAAACAUGACCAAAUCGGUCAUAUACAAAGGUUAUACCAAAAGAUCAAGACUCUACAAUAUAUGAAGCUCUACAAAAUCCACCCAAUCCUCUAAGCAAGAAGGAACUUUCUGUUUACACCAAAAGAAAAUAAGAGAGCGGAGACUACCCCUCAAUUACAAGAAGCUCGACUCUACACUUUCAUAAGUUCUAUUUCUCUCUCCCUCCAAACUACCCACAUUAGCACUAUCGGAACCAUCUUCCAAGCCCUUCGCCUUCUCCCCCUUCUCCCGUUCUUCCAACUUAGCAUCAGAUCUUUCAUAGUUUCUUGGCACUCCCCAAGGAGUGUGAAACCAUCUAAAGAUAUCCCACCAUAAUCGCAUGGUAAGCCCACAAUGUAGAAGGAGUUGAUUGUAUUUCCAUUUUCUCAUAUUGAUACGAGUUUCACUCAGGUUGUAUCAAUUAUAGAUGCUCUAAUAAUAUUUAGCACAAUUCCCAUAAAGGCAUGACCAUUCACCUACUUAAGGCCAGACAAUAUUAGGUCACCGAACAAAAGAUCAAAACAAGAAAUUAGAAUCAUUAGAACUGAAAAGGCUGUUUUCGGAAUCAUGUACAAUAAAUGGUAAUGUACUGGGGGUUCACAAACUGAUAACCAACAACAAAGUCACAGGGCCUCGAUAGUCCCAGAACUUGCCAAUUUUAGUAAUCAAAUUAUCAGAAUCAUACAAGGAAAUUAGGGCCAUACUGUCUAGGGUUUUGCAUAAGCACAUUAAAGUAUGUCUGGCAUUAUUUAGUUAAUAAAAGGGAGAUUACUUUACAGUUAAUAGCUAUUUCGAGGCGAUGGCACUCUUUUGAAUGAACAUGUUCCCUUAUAAAUAGAAAAGAUUCUGUGAUACAAGUACAACCACGAAGAUGGACGCAUGUGAGAAUGUAAUGAACCCGGGGCUUGAAGUGUGCGAGUGAAGGACUUAAAACACGCCAAACCGACCCUAAUCUCACACUUGGAGUGUAAGGAGGAGCCUUGGAACACAACAAGGCAGCCCCUAAAUACACUUGAAGGGAGCCUAGCUCUUAAAAGGGCAUUUUGGGCAUUUUGUAUUUUAUUUGUAACCUAGUAUAAAUAGAACAUUGUAGGGCUUUUAGACUUACAUUAUCAUGAUGUUGUAAGUCAUAAGAUACAAGAAACACAAGUCCUCUCUCCUUUGAGGCACCACCUGAAACUAGGGGCCCUUUGGCCGAAACUAGAGUGUGGAAUCACUCUUGUUGAACUCUUGGCUUGGAACGUUGGAUGCUUAGAGAGGUUGAGGUUUCCCUUGUGUCCACGAAGAGAUAGGUAUUUGUUGAGUGUAGUGUUAAGGGUCUAAGAGUGGAAUAAGCUCUUGGGUUCUUAAGAUUAUACCAUCAUUUGUCUAUCUAUUUAUCUUGUAUUUUGUAAUCAUGUACCCGUUUGUGAUCUUGUUAAUGUAAGCCGUGUGUUGUUGUUCUUCAUGUUGUAUUGUUCAUCUUGUCUUCAUAUUGAGUUGUUAAUCUAGUUUGUGGUAGCUGAUUUGGUGUCAAAUACACCUUUGUUAUUUCGUUUCUUGGUGUUAUUGUUGAAUACGAGAGUGGUCAUCAAAUAGGUCCUUGGGUUCUUGAACUUGUGGAUUGAUUUUGGUGUUUGUUUCAUGCUUCCUAGUCUUUCUUGUAUCAUUCUGCUAACCUAACCACCACAUGAAACAAAAGACUUGGCGAAGCAGGUCGAAGCCUGGAGGUAUAACUUUUCUUGUGGUAUGUCAUAUCUGGUUCCCAUACCAAAUUUAUUUGAAAUAUUUAGACCUUAGACCACAAAAGUGCUUGGUCAAUCCCUUCCAUUACUGUCACAUUGUAACAAAUUUAGAUCCUACUCAUAAUAACACAAGAUCUAAGUCAGACAUUAGCAGACAUGAGAAACUGGAAACUAGCCAAAAACCAACCUGCAAUUUGGAUAAAGCAGUUGUAAGAUUGUCAAUUUCUAUACUAAUGUCCUCAAUUUUCUUCUCAGUUUCUCUAAUGUAUUGGAUUUUAGCAUUUAACUUUGUCAUUCUUUCAUCAAGGAUGGAUUCUGCAAUUAAAUGCACCAAUGUUAAAGUUUUACAGGACCUUGUAGAAUAAUAGAUAGCAGGUGAAGCCGUAGUAUACUUCUCAUGAAAAAUGCUACUGAAUUAAUAUCUUAGAAUUCUGAAAAGCACAUAAUAAGAAUUGGAUAGAUUCAAUCAUCACAGAAGCAUAAGAAAGAACAAAAAAAAAAUUCCUGCUGGAAUAGAAAUCUGACCUUGCAAAUCCAAUGCAAAUCUAAUAGGAAAGGAGAAAGAAAAGAGAGAGUAACAUUUUUCAAUGCACGUGUUCAACAAUGUCACAAUAAUGCUUCUUAGCAUGCCACAAAUUUCUAAGGCAACAGGACAUAAAAUAUUGCCCUUGUUCAAUUGAGCCGAGGGUCUAUCGGAAACAACCUCUCUACCUUCUAUGGGUAAGGUCUGCGCACACAUUACCCUCCCCAGACCCCACUUGUGGGAUUACACUGCAUACGUUAUUUUUGUUCAAUUGAAACAUGAUUAAUAUCAUGUUUUGACUAAUACUAAGUUAAUCAAGUUUUAUACAUGUUACCUUCAUGCUGGUGUCUUAUGUACUUAUGACAAACUUAUAAUCACCUACUCCAAUCAUACAAGAUAAACCCAGUCCAAUCGUUCCCCACUGAACAAUGGUUAAGAAUAAGGAGGGGAUAAAAGAGCCUGAAUACGAAAUGAAGCACUCACAUCAACCAGUUUGCAAUGAAUUUUUUUCUUUCCCUCAUAAUCCAUCCAUGAGUAGCAUGAGUGUUUUGCACUAUUCCUUCUCCUACCAAUAAAAAAUACGCAUAGUAUUCACUUCAAUCUAAACACAAAUCGAAAAAUCAGUAAUAGCUAGAGUCAGAUUCCACUCUAAAAAUACUUUUUUUUUUGCCCUUCUACAGCUGCUCGCAGUUAAAACUGUCCUCUCCAAGUAAUCUAUUUCACAAUAUCAUAUAACACUCCAGUUCCUAUACACAUGCAAUACCACAAAACUUGGUUCAAAUCCAAAUUCACUUCUCUCAUUCUCUCUCAGCUACUAAUUACAUGGAAAUGCAGUUCUUUUGUUCGGGUGUCUUGGUUGUUUGAGUAAUUAAUUUCAUGUAAAUGCAAUUUUGCUUUGUUAUUGUAACUAUACUUGUAUUGUAUCUCUAUGCAAUUAAAUAAACCGCGAGAAACGCAAGCAUUAAGUUAUGUCAAGUCGAUUAUCUCAAUGGCCAAAGUGAUAACUGAUGAGGGAAUAAGGAAAUAACCUAAUCGAGCGAUUUUGAUCUUCGCUUUUUCCAGUUCGUACAUCACCGAAUUCUCAUUCUGCUGACUGGACAACGCCGGAAUCUGAGAUUCCGCCGGAGGUACGACCGCCGCCGUCGAUGCUAUGAGAGUAGUAAAAGUGGCGGCAGCCAAAAUUAAGAAGAUCGCCAUUUCCAGUUUCUGUUUUGCAACUGAAUGCUGAAAAAGCUGCUGCUUAAAUAGGAAUGCCACUCUUUUGUCCCUUCCUACUACGGGUGUUUCGUUCCGCCGUUAUUUUUAAAAGGAUUGUACCAUAUCCAUUUUUAUAAAAUCACGGAAUAGCUGCUUAUUUCGUGAUUAAUUAUUUUGUCUCGACAUAACUUUGUUUUAUGAAUAAUGGAUAUGUUUUUAUGAAAAAUUUGUUAUAUAAUCUUUUUUUAAAAUGAAAAUAUGAUGAUUUUAAAGAAGUGUAAAAAAAAAAUUGAUGAUAAAGGAUAAAAUAGAAAUUUUAAAAAGUGAAUUAGGAUAAGCGGGAAUAUGAUUAUUGUUCAAAGUUGAGGGGAGUUUAAUUUUUAAGAUAAAAUUGGGGAGGGAAAAUGAUUUUGACCCUAAAUUUUAUUCAUAUAACAAUUUUUUUAUAAAAACAUAAACAUUAUCUUUUAGAAAAAAAAAAAGUAAGAGAUAUAUAAGCUAAUGAUGAUCUUUAUGAAGUAAAUUAGCAUAAUAAGAAAAUUAGUUUUAUUAAUAAUAAUCAAAACCAUAAUAUUUAUUUUAACAAGUGAAAAUAAUAAGUACUACUAAUUUUAUAAACAUAUUUCAAUGCAGAAAAUACGAACAAUAAAUGAAAGAGAUAAGCCUCUAGUACCACCCCGAACUAUGGUCAAAGUUGUUACGACACACUCCAACUUCACAGGGGUCCUAUUAUCCCCUGAACUCAAAUUUAACGUAUUUUUAUCAUUUUUUGUGCUAAUGUGGCACCUUUAUUACAUAAAAUGAAGUUCAUAUCAAAGGUGUCACGCCAUCUAAAACGAUUGACAAAAGGUAUCACGUUAGCUAAAAACAUUGACAAAACUACGCUAAAAUUUAGUUUAAGAGGUAAUAGGACCCUGUGAAGUUGACGUGUGUCGUAGCAAAUUUGGUCAUAAUUCGAGGAUACUAGAUGUUUUUCUCGAAUAAAAAUAAGGUCAAAUUUUAAAGAUUAUAUUUAUUUAUAUAAAUUAUAAAAUAUGUUAUACUCUAUUAAUGACAAUCACAAUUUAUUUACUGAUAUAUACAAUAGAUAAUAUCGUUUCUUAUCACUUGAUCGGUGGUCCUCAUGCUAAAAAUAAAUAUUUUAGUUUAUCUGCUCAAUUUGUGAAAUCAAGAGAAUUGUAUUAUGUGUUUUUUCUACCCUUAGUGUUAAAUAACUAUAUAAAGUAACAGACAAAUUUAAAGUUUCAAAUUAUCAUUAAUAAAGUUAAUUUAGCAAAAUAUACUUCUAAGUAAAAUUUUCUUAAGGAUUGUGUUAUAUCAACAAAAAGUUAAGUAAUACAAAACAAAUUUAAUAAGAGAGUGAUAAAACACGAAAAUAUACACACAUGCAUGCACAUACAUAUGUAUAUAUACACACUUAGGGGUAGGUUAUUUGGAAAUAAGUUAUUCCGGAAUUAGUUAUUAUAAAAUAAGUUGUACUAACAUGUAUGUGUGAUAACACCGUGGUAUAAAUGGGGCGACAAAUAAUUUUGAGACUACCUAAUACAUCUAAUUAAAUGCAGAAUAAAUAAUUCUGAACAUUAUCUCUGAAUUAUUAUAAUUAUACCUCACAUCAAACGACUCUUUAAUUCAUAUAACACUAAAAUAACGAUUUUAAAAAUAAUAUUGAAUUUUGUGAUAAAUUUAUAAAACGUAUUAAUUUGCAUAUAAAGUUAAUAAACUUAAAUAAAAUGUAAUAAAUAUCCAUGUUAAAAAAAUAUUCAUUACAAGACAAAAUGGAUAUUGCAUGAGAUAAAGAGGAGUAUGAUUAUUGUUUUAAUCAAAGGGGAGGGGGAGUGAAAAUCAUUUUCACCCUAAAGUUUCUGACAAUUAGCUUCGUGUAAUUUAUUUCCAUGUGAUAUGAGCCAUGUUAGAGCAAAAUUCUAUGUGAUUCAAGAUCCUAUAAUUGUGGAUUUUGCAUGCCACAAGUUGAAAUUCAAAUAAACUGACUAGCCCUUGCUAGAAAAAUUACAAUGAUACAUGAUUCACAUCAGCAUUCCCAAGAGACAUACAGAUGAACUGCAGAUAAGAGCUUCCUUGCAAUGUUUCUUGCAGUCAUUGCUUCUUCAUCGCCAAAUUAGGACGCGCGGUUAAUAAUGUUAUACAAACCAAUGGUUUGAACCCAAGUUGGCACAACAUGAAAGGCGAUGCGCAGAGGUAGAGGUGAAGCCGGGAUUUGAAGAUAACGAGGCACCACUUUGAGGCAGAUGCACAGCUAUACUGUGUGAAACUCACUCUGUGAACUGCGGUUUGGGCACAUUUUGCUUACAUCAGGUUACAGGUUCUGCCACAUAACCUGGUGGCUGGGUCGCGUGCCAAUGCUCAAGGGCCUAAGUGGCAGGCUGAACAUGUGACCUGACACGUGUAUGUUUGAGGGGUCCUCUUAAAAUAUGUGAUAGCUCAAGGUAUAUAUACAUAUAUAUCGAGUCUUUUCCGAAAUUAACAUGCAUGUGCACCCCCAACCCACCACAUGGGUCUGCCUCUGGUUUUGCAAAUCAAAAGGGGCACUUGCAGGGUUCGAUGCCCCAACUCUGCUGUGCAUAUUCUUCUAUUGUUCUAUCGCUGCUAAAUUUCCCGGAACCUGCAGUAGAGAGUAUGCUCAUUUGGGUCCACUUUACUUGAUCGACAAACGCUCGAUCAGCAGCAGCCUGUCAACAUAUUCUGUCAGUUUCAAAAUGAACAAUUUUAACAGGAGUAUUUGCAAUAACAUAUUGAUUUGAAAAUAUUACCUGAGCCUCUAAAUAACGAGCAAAAUCAUAUCCCAGGAGAUAAAAGUCUCCACCAUCCUCUACAGUGUCGCAUAGCGACUUGAAAUAGUCUUUGAAGCCAAAGUAACCAUCCCGGACCAUCCUACACAUACAGUACAAUGAAAUGAGAUAAAAACUGAAACUUUUUGUAAGUUAUUACUUAAGUCUUAGGAAUCUAACACAGUGCAUUCCACUAACAAUGAUCAUUCCACAAUAAGCUUCAUCCUAUGACUAAUAAUCUUGCAGAGUGGGCUGAUCAAGGUAAUCACACUCUAGUCAGGAAAAAUCUCCAAGAACCGGAGGCAAAGCAAUGGCUUUAGUGCUCACCUGUUCUCCCAAGUACCAACUCAUUAAUGUUAAUAUUAAAUUAAGCGAAACUAUAAGAUGGGAUGAGUGAUGCCACAUCAUAAAGACCACUGGUCACAAAAUGAUACAGCCAUCAGCUUCAACAAUCACACCAGCGAAUGAGACAUGACAUAGAUGAUCAUGGUAGUGAAAAAACAGAGUAAUGUGACUGUCAGAGAGAGAGAGAAGACCAUAUCCAAUGAUUAUCUAGACUAUGGCCACAUUCCCGUGGGACCCAACAGAAACAGAAAAACUGCAAACAGCAGAUUUUGCAUUGUGGACAAUCAAUCUGUCUACAGAGAACAGACCAUAAAGGUUAAGGAAAAGAUUGCUCAAACUACAGCACAUACCUUACAACUCGUGCAAAUUGAAGUGAACCUUUGAGGGUGGUUCCUUUUUCUCGCAAUGCUGGAACCUCAUCCACCUUUGCACCAAAAAGAAACUGGAGAAGAAGAGGCAAAAGAAAAGAACAAAAUAAAGAUAUCAAACAAGGAAAUGAAGUCCAUUAAGGGGAUCAUAUCCUAAAACACUUGUUCCUUCUGUUCCUUUAAAAAAACAAAUAUUUAUCUAACAUAUUAUCUCUAUACAUGGAGUCUUAGUGCAGUUGCUUGAGGUAGAUUUUAUCCUUCUAACCACACAGUGAGCAAGUGAGGACAUGACCCUUGAUAGGAAGGGGUGGAGGAUGCGGAUUAGGGUAGAAAGGUAGUAGGUAGGACCGUAGGAAUACGUUCAUAAUAGUAGGGAAGAGAGCACUGUUUGUAUUUGUGCCUGUAGUGUCUUGUAGCCUGUUGUUCGUGGUGUUCUGGUGAUGCCUAUGAUUUCGUAUAGCUAGUAUAUAAUAUUACUUUGUGGGUGUUUUGUAACCUUUACUAUCUAACGGUGUGAUAUCCCUUUUUGUUGUUUACUUUUUUGUUUGUUAUAUUUGUUAUCUAUCCUGAGCUGGGGGCCUAUCGGAAACAACCUCUCUACUUCCUCCGAGGUAGUGAUAUGGACUGCGUACACUUUACCCUCCCCAGACUCUACUUUGUGGGAUUACACUGGGUAUGUUGUUGUUGUAACCACACAGUGAACAAGUGCAGUUAUCAUCAACAGGUGAAAUGGAGUCUAUAUAAGCAUCCUAAUACUGCUUACCAUGUUUGCUGCCCCUAUCUCUUCAGCAAUUUCAACUGCUGAGCCAUCUGCAGUUGCUAAUAAUAAACAACCGUUCAUCAAAAAUUUCAUGCAUCCGGUUCCAGAUGCCUCAUGUCCAGCAGUACUGCACCAUAAUACAUGAUUUCUAUGCGUUGUUAACACAUACAUGAAAAAAUCCUGGUACAUCAAGUUUUGAGGGAACUGUGCAUACUGGAGUUACAGAUUACCAGUUAAAGAAAGCAAUAACUUUCAUAAUGAAACAAGGAUGCAGUCAAUGCGAAGUUUGACCAUCCAAAGAGGAAACAUAUUCCGUAUACUGUAGUUAUCGGUACCAGUUAAAGCAAGCAGUGACUUUGGUAAUGAAACAAAGAUUUAGUCAAUGGGAAGUGUGACCAUCAAGAGAGGGAAUAUGUAAUUUUAUCCUACUUAGAACAGAAACAAAAGAUGUUAUCAGGUAAGACAGUGUGUUUGCACGUGUUAAAAGUUAAAAAAUGGAAGGAAAUGCACAGGCUAGACACUGACCUUAGGUGCUGUGAAAGAUCACUCCCUGGAAUUACAAGUUCGGCAACAGAGACAUUAUAAUCAGGGAUGAAAACCUGAAACGACAGAAGACGAGUUCAUUUCUAUUAAGUCCUAGCUAUCUAUAAUGACAGCAGAAAAAUAGAAGCACAGAAAUUCUGACUACUGCGUUAUACCUACGGUCCAGGAACAGUGCACAUGAGCAGUCAAUGGGGGAUGGGGAAAUGAAACCAAGUAUGAAAUAUAAAGUAAAGCCUGAGUAUCUUUUAGAUCAAUGACAUGACGAAGGGAUGUGAAGUCUUGUGAAACCCAACAAUUUCAAAAUUCUGCAGCCAAAUAGUAGAAGUGUUUUCCAUAACUUCCCUCAAAAAUUUCCAAUUAGGGCUAACUCUAAAAUGAACACAUCAUUUCAGGAGAAAGGUUCAUGGGACAGAUUGUUAGGGCCUAAGAAAGUAAUGCUUAGAACCUGCUUGCUAUUUUCUUCCCUUCCGUUUUCUUUUAUAAUUUCCUUUCAUCAUCCCAUGUUGUAUUUUCAAAAGAAGAUGAAGUUUCUGAAUGGACAUUCUCAACUUUCAAAGAGCAAAGCAUGAACAAUGGUUUCGUAUAAACAUGAUGAGACCAUACUAAUUGAGUUCAACAGAUAAAUCAAAUCAUGGUCCUACCACUUUCAGGAGAUCCCCAACAUCAGGGUCGUUGUUAACUUUAUCUGCCACCGCAUGACAAAGUUUGAUUAUCUUCUUUGCAACUUCAUAACCAGGGGCAGCUUUCCCACCAAUAAUACAUACACGAGGUACAACUCUUCGCUUGUCACUUUCAUCCAUAUUCUUCAGAAAAUAAUGACAGUAUGAUGUAUCAGGGAGAUGAUUUGUUGAAUACGGUUCAGUAGAAACUUUUUUGAGUAAUAGUAUAGUUCAACCGAAAUUGUGAAGGAAAAUAUGAAACUUAUGGAGCUUCUUCUAGAAGUUAGAUGAUACUUAAUAGGCAUAUCCAUAUUCUGAAUAAACAAGUUAAGUUAGAUUUUUUAUGUGUUUAAGCAAAAGUGAUUUUGGAGCAUCCAUGAUAUUCUACUGAAGAAAUGACGGAAAAAAAGAAAGAGAAAUAAUAUCAGGACAUUGGACAAAGACAGAGAUUCAAAAGGCAAGAAGAAGAAAUUUUUUAGCUAAAACAGGUGUUUCUAUUAGUCUUGAAUCUUGAUACUUUUCGAAGCUGGUGGUGAAAUCAUGUGUUCUCUAUUUUCGAAAAUGACUUGGUUUCUAAUCUGGUUCAACAACAACUGAACUUAGUUUCUGUGGACUUGUAUUUGGCCUUGCACAUAAGCAUAUAAGUCCAUGAAAAAUUCCCAUGGCUUGAUUCAAUAUAUCUGAACCAGCGUUCGCAAAAAUAAGUGUCUUUAGGAUCAAGAUUCAGAGUUUGAACUCCAAAAAGAAAAGAAAAUGUCAGUGAUACCUAUCUAGGUAGAAAGUGUUUUUCCUGGCACCUUUUAAGACACUUCAUAUUACCAAAGCUGGCCUGUCUGAGACGCCUUCUGAGCAGGGUGAUAUUUGAACUACAAACUGGUUUAGAAAGUACAUUUGUAUGUGGUUAUCUCCACUGGACAGUCAGGUUUGGCUCAGGAAUAUUAUUCUAAGAAGAAGAAAGGAGAAAUAGAAGAUACCUUAAUGCAGUCAUAUCUGUGGAUGAUACCUAAUAUGUUGAGCAGUUGUCUUUUGUAUGCAUGUAUUCGUUUUAUCUGCACAUCGAACAUUGCAUCCAAACUGACCUGUAAUAUAGGGUAUAUAGCUUGGUCAGGCAACAACAGACAUGCGGGUUGUCUUGCAAAGAAGGAAGUGAAAUGGAUAUGCUCAGAAACCUUCACACUGGUAAGUGUUUCAAUGUACUCAGCAAGCCUCAUUUUGUUAACUCUCUUCAUCUGCAAGUCAGAAGUCCAAAGGUAUUGGAGACUGCAAAACAAUAAGCAACUACUCUUUUCAGAUUGAGGUUGCAGAGAAAAAUAUCAUACAUUCUUCCAUUCAGUGUGUAAAUCAGGAUCUUUUGCAUAUUCUCUUAAACCUGCUAUGAGGUCAAUAUUUCGGAUCCAUGCUUCUGUCCCAAGCCACUUUGAAAUGAUCGAACACAAGCUAGGAUUGCUCACCACUAUCCAACGGCGCUGACAUAUAACAAAUUAAAAUUGUGAAGAACGUAGCAAAAUGCUUCAAAUUUAAUUCAUAUAAUCAUUUUUACAUGCCCAUGAUGAACUCCAAUGAAAGAUCUCCCACCCCCAAAUAAAAUUUGUUAAUGAUGACAGAAGGAAGAGACAGAAUAUUUUAGAUUAGAUAUGAACCUUGUUAUUAUGCAAGUACACACUGCCGACUCAAGGCAGUAAUGGAAAAUCAGAAGCUUUCUAACAUAAAGAAUGCCAGAAUUUUUGGAGAAUAUCUGUCAAGUCUAAACCUGAAGCAGAAAUCUUGAAACUGAUAAGAGUCAAUAAACAAGCAGUCAAUUAUGCACCUGGGUUACUCCAUUAGUCUUGCACUGAAAUUUCUGAGGCCACAGCUCAUAAAAGUCCUGCAAGACACAGCAAUUACAAAAUGAUCUCUUUCAGAAACAUCGUUUUCACUAGCUAUUUCUUGGGUCGUGAGCAAAAACUAAUAUGAAUAACAGACUUACAAAAUAAGUCCUCCGGAGUUGUUUGAUUUCAUUAAAAUGAGACAUUAUAUAAACUCUAUAUUAUUAAUCAUACAUUCGGUCGCCAGUUUAUGUUCUGUAUAUAGAAUCCCGCAUACUUAUGUUGCAAUUAUGUAUCAUUUUGUACGAACUAUAAUGUGGAAAAAAACAAGCUGCAUAGCAUCAACUUGUUAAAAAUACCUUUUAAGUCUCUUUAGAUAAUGAAAACAAAAUCAUGAUAGUGUUAAUCUAAGAAUUAAUAAUACCCACUACAACUUGUACAUCUUAGUAAUUAUAAAACCAAUUUCGUCAAAAGUAAAUAUAAAAUCAUUUUUGGCAUUUGUGCUACAAAAGUUCAGUCUUCAGUUCACCUCCAUCUUCAAAACCUUUAGAAACAUUCUUUUCAUUUUCCCAAAAGAAAAAAAAAAGGAAAAAGAAUCUUGCAUAAUUGUUUACUGUGACAUUCUUAGUUAAGCCAAACUUAUAUCCAAUCAAAGUUCUGAAAGAUGACAAAGAAGUGAUGUCUGCGUGAGGUGUCAUUGGAAACGAUUGUUUAUCCAGUUUUAAACCAAAAAUGGUUUAAGUUAUACAUCAUAUCUUCCUUAUCAAAACAAAAAAAAAAAAGGUUAUACAUCAUAUAUCUAACUUUUAUUACAUUGAAUUUCCUCAUGUUACCUUCUCAAAAAAAAAAAUUAUUGAAUUUCCUCCAAAAAGGUUAUCCAGAUCAAGAAAAAUUCAAUACAUUGAACAAAUUGCCAACAACAAAUGAAUAUGCUUCAAAAGUCAAAUGUUUGUUAUUCACUAUAUUAUAUCUCUGUAUAACUAGUCCAUCAACCAAACUCACCAUGUAGCAUAAUUGGUCAUAUAGCACGGAGGGAAGAAAUUAAUAGGACACGCUUGUUAAAUUCAAGCUGAUUAGUUAAUUCCUUAUUAGACAAUUGUGCUCUCUUCAAUCUCGCAAAUAAACUGAGUAAAUAAGAACAAGAAGAAAUCCCAAGGGGUUAAAUAUUUCUUUUGACAUUAUAAAGAAUCUAUACAGUGAAUUGGAUAGAAAUUUUGGCAAAUCACUCUCUGAAAUAGUCCCUAGAGAGAGUGACAUUUAUUUAGUGAAGGUAAAUGGACAUAUUUAUUGCAGGAUUUAAAUCAAGUUCUCAUGAAAUAUUGGGCAAAAGAGAAGAAUUAAAAAAAGUGCAGAAUCAAAAUUACCUUAAACACUCGUGUUUUAAGUGUCUCUAGAUGCACUCUGGAAACACCAUUCACAGUGUGGCAACAUGCAAGUGAUAGGUUUGCCAUCCGAAUACUCUGUCCAGGGGAGCAAAGUCAAAAUUGGCAAUUGCAGAAAAACAAGGAACUGAUACUCGGCCUGGUUUUGACUAGUGAAAAUGGCAUAAUGCAAAUGCAACAUGGAUUGUCAGACGAAUGUGCGCCAUAUAAAAUCAAGCUGACAGUGAGAAGUAACAAGCAUGAACAUCAUAAACUUUCUUUUAUUUCCAUCAAAUAACCUUUUUCCUAUCUGGCCUCUAUUCCUCUCUCACCCCUCUCCCACCUGCCCACCCUCUCGCUUCUUUGUUAAGUUUCAUAAACAAUGAGUUAUGUAACUCAAGCAUCCAGAAUUCAAAGAAAACUACUGAUCCUAGUGUGUGGAUGUGGAAAUUUGCAGUAUUAGUAUAUCAUUGGUACAUAAUAUGGAGCGACAUUGUUGACAAGGAUUUUAUGAGCUGGCCAGACAAAGACGGAUUGAAGUUAUAUAACUGACCCCAACUGAUUGAGUAGUUGUUGUUGGUAUAAUUGUACGUUUUUGGGCCACCUACAUGUCACUGCUACAGGUUGGUCCAGCUGAAAAACGUCAGAUUUAUUUUUAUUUUUUAAAAUCUUGGUGGGAAUAUACUGGGUAUGCUGUUGCUGUUUAAUUAGCAGGAAAACAUCAAAUUUGAUAUACCACCGAAAGCAUUAAUUAAAACAGAAGCGGAAUCAAAAUGUUGUCUUCUAUACCUUCACAGCACCUUCCUCAACAAUUGACAUUCGGGAAAGUCUAUCAUAGUCCUGACCAAAACUCUUUUUUAACUCUUCCAUGAGACGAUGGUUUAUCUCAUAUAUAAUCUGGAACAAAAUGUGAAUCACUAAAUCAGAUGACGAGAUUUUUAACAAAAUAAGUUGAAGACAAUCACUCCCUAAUUGGCAAACACAUAAAACAAGCUAGCGUUGGUGUAAAAAGGAUGACACUCUUUAUAGCUGAAAGAAAACCAAUUCAAGCACAAACGAAACACUACUAUGAGAUAAUUUAAAAUCUUCUGUAAGAAACAUACCUCUAAAUGCCGAGGAAGAACACUACCCAAAAGAUCCACGGGGAUUUUCUCCAGCCCUUCAGGUUGUACUGCAUGAAUGGUGACUGAGAAAAUACUGCAAGCAAUGCCCCAUGCUUUACUCCAGUCCAAGUUUUCUUCAUCAACAAGCACUCUCAUUACCUCAGCAAUGGAAAUUGAUGGAUGUGUAUCAUUUAUCUGAAGAGCAACCUGAAAAGAAAACCUCAAAAAGAAUAAAUUAGCAAAGCAACAAUUUGGCUCUGAAAAAAAGGCCUACUUUUUCCUUUUCCUUUUGAGAUCCUAAAUUCCUGUAUGAAUGCAAUAAAUAAUGACAUCUUCAAAAUACAUUUGGUGUAGGACAAGCUAAGAUUAAGUGAGGUCCACGUAGAAAUUCUUUUAUGACAUUUCAUCAGUAAGAGUACCUCAAAACAAGCUAGUCCAGAUGCCUAGAGUCUUUAAGUUCAAUUGAAAGGAGAAUUAACUUAAAUAGUGCAAAAUAGAACCAAAUAUAUUAAAACUAAAUAGAGAGAUUACAAUAGGCACUUGACCACUAUCUUUUGCACUGUAUAGACUUUGUUUUGGAUUCAAAUGUGAAACAUGCAACUAUUUAGGAAUCAUGUCGUGAUAAUUGAGGCUUAUACUUCAUGCAAUGCCUUUUCAUCUUAAAAAAAACAAAACCAAGUGAAUUGACAAACUUAGCUAAGUCUAUGCCUUCAGGCCAAAAUUGUCGGUAGUGUAAUGAAGAAACAAGUAUUUGUUUAUACAUGAUAAGCAAACUAUAAGCGCAUGGUUUUUGUGCAUCCUGUAGCAAGGUCCACUGACUUGAGCCCAUUGUUUUAUGGAUGGCAUGACUUUACAAGCUUAUAAGGAACUCCAGACAUUACAGGCCCCAAAAAUGUCAGGUAAAUACCUUAUCUGGAAACUCAUCAAAGUUGCUAUGUAAAUCCUUAAACCUCCUUAUUAUGUCUUGUAGUGAUGCUGAAACGAAGAAAUAUUGUUGCUUCAACCGCAGCUCCUUACCCUGAAGAAAGAACAUCAAAGAAAUUAAGGAAUAUAUUGCUCAAAAUGGUUGGAGAAUACAUAAGAAACCCAUAUGAAGAGUACAUUCUCAAGCUUCAAGUUGCACCCAAGGGUGUGAACCUAGUGGUCAAUGAAGUGGAUUGAAAAACCAUGAAGCCUCAGGGUUCAAAUUCCAGAGCUGGAAAAAAUACUUGGGGUUUUCGUCUCACUUAUUCAAGCCUUGGUGGACAGAGACCCAGAGUUACCACUUACCGGUACCCCUGCUAGUAAGAGGUAGCAGGUACCCUGGAGAGCUAGUUGAGGAGCUCAUAGGCGGGCUCAGACACCACCAUUAUAACAAAAAAAAAAAGUUUCUCAAGCUUCAAGUUUCAAUAUAAGCUCCCAUAUGGUGAUUUGGAAUUUGAAAUUUGCAAUUCAUGUUCCCAUUUCCAAGUUCAGCUUUCUUAAUUUUGUUAAAUUUCAGCAAUGUGGUUCUUUCACUCCAUGCUUUUUGUAUUUACAAUGGCAUCUUCUUUAUUGGCAUUUCAUUAUGAUCUUACAGCAUUCGACCUCAGUUUUAGACAUAAAAUUUUGUAAUGUUAUUAGAAAAUAUACCAAAUAUCAAGUGAUAUAGUAUGAAAUGUCUUCAACGUAAUGUAGCAUUAAUUUCUUAUAUUAUUUAUACUGAAAUUGUGUGUUACUCCACCUGUCCCAAUUUAUAUGACUCACUUUCCUUUUUAGUCAGUCCCAAAAAGAAUGACACAUUUCUACCUUUAGUAAUAUUUUUAGCUUUAAAAUGUCUAUUUUACCCUUGAUGAAAUAAUUUAUAGCCACACAAAUAUCUAUGACUUAUUUUAGACCACAAGUUUCAAAAGUCUCUAUUUUUUUCUUUCUUAAACUCCGCGCCGAGUCAAAUUACCUCACAUAAAUUGGGACGGAGGGAGUGUAUGUUAUUGGAGAGAUAGUAAUUGGGUGGUACUGAAAAGAAUUUUACCAUACUAGUCAAUCAAAGACCAACAUAUGACUUUACAAAUUGCUAACAUGAUGUAUGUUAUUGCUGUUAGAUAUAUCUUCAAAAUAAGAUUAUGUAACUUUGCUUUAAAUCCAACAUAGAAUGGGGCAGGUUCAUAACCCAGAGGCUAGCCUCCCAAGGAAAAGAAACUCUACAUUUUAUCAACUUCCUCAAGACAUAAUAUGGAAUGAAUAUACCUGGUAAGAACGGUCAUCAGGGUACAACACAUUACUUAUAGUUUCAGCCUUCUGUCUGUUAACAAUAGCAUUAAUAUAGUCCCCGGUGGUGUAGGACUCCUGCAAGUGAUGAAAUGGGGACCACGUAGAAGUUAAGAGGUAGAGAGAUGUCAAACAACAUAAUAAGAAUUAUUCUCAAGAAACUAACUCUGAUUUGUGCAACGAUAGGUAAGUUCACAUUUGACGAAAAAAGAAAAUGACUAAUACAGAAGAUAAGUCCCUCAAAAGUAUAUAGAUGCCUCCUCUACAGCAUCCCCACUGGACAUCGUCAGAAACAUUACUAUACAACAUGGUAAAAAAUUACCAUAUCAUAUUGAUCACUAGGUUUAGCAGCCCACAAUCGAAGGUUGAUGGCAUUUCGCGUGCCAUAACCAGGUAUUGGGUUAUCAUAAGCCACUGCUUCAACCUACAAGCAAUAGAUACAGAGAAUAUCAAGGAAUAAUAUUUCUCACUUAGCAAUUUGACAUGACAAUUAAGUCUAAAUUUCUCAACAAAAGAAAAACUUACAAAAUACAGAAGCACUUACUGAUUCUCCAGGUAUCCAAAUUUUACAUUUCUUUCCAUUUAAAACUUCCUCCUCAAUAGUCCCAUAGAACUAGCAUAAAAAGCACAUUGCGAGUCAGCAACAAGUAUAAGUAUCAAUUAAAAAGAUUGAAGAAGAUAAUAUCAAAUACCCCCACCUGCACCUGGCCAAGACCUAAAACAAGAAGAUAAAAACAUGUUUCAUUUAGAUAAAUUACUGAAAGAGAUGGAAAAGUGAAUACUUCCGAACCUUCACUGGAUAUGAUACAUGAACACGCUCUAUCUCCCAGGGAUUCCCAAAAUUCAACCAAAAAUCGGGUUGUUCGUGUUGAAAACCAUCCACUAUGAUCUGACGAAAUAAUCCAUAUUGAUAGCGUAAUCCAUAACUGAAGAUCAAGAGAUGUAGGUUCCCAACUCAAUUGACCUUUUUAAGAAAACUUCAAGAUGAUAAAGGAUAAAUCCUAGAAGAAAAGCUAGACACCAUUAGGUUCAGAUCCUAGAAUUCCAAUUUUAGAUUGGGAACUCCAUAAAAGAAGCCCACCAAAUUCUGGAGGGUCCCUAAUAGAUAAUUUGGUUUCGGAAAAAUACAAAAACUCUACUUAUAAAAGGAAAAGAAAACAAAAGAACUAUACGAACACUCUGAUCUUAUCAUCACAAGGGUGGCUAUUAUCUAAUAUGAAAAUGCAGCCAUGAAACAGGAUGUUGUUAGAAAAAAGGCAGAGAUCCAGUUAUUCUGACUGUUUUUAUUAUUUAGUGUGUUUGGGAAAAGCGAGGAGAUUCAAAAGCCAAGUCCAUGAUGAAGCAAACAACAUAAGAACCAAACUGAUGUUUAGACAACGAGAAAAAGGAGCCUGGACCAUACCCCCAAGCUGGAUAAUCCAAUGUCGCUAGCGAAUCCAUUUGGCAAGCUGCAAGGCGAGCAAGGCCACCAUUACCAAGGGCAGCAUCUCCUUCCUUGAAAUGAAUGAACGUUAGAAACAAAAUCAUCACAGAUAAUUUAUUUAGGGGAGCAAUGGAACAGCCAAAUGUGAGUAAGAUGAAGAUUGAGAAGAAUUUGCUAUCAAUUGUAAAUAAAGUUUCUUCAAAAUUAGAUUGAUUAGCAGAAUAAUUUACACCGCCUAUGGAUGUAGGGUAAACUGUAAAAUAAUUGUACAAAGCAAGGCCAAUCAAUAAAUUUGUGCUGUGGAUUUGAAAUUAUUGCAUUUUCAUAUACAAGAUUUAUCCUAUAUGUCCUCUAAAUGUUACUCAGAAAUUUUCUAGUUUAACUUAAUUCAUAAAUUAGUUCAUAUAAUCCAAAGUAACCGCUAAACAUACUCAUUACUUAUUAGUUUGUGACAUGUUACAGGCUCAAAAAAUUGCUAGAGAAUCAGAGAUAGCGGAUCGAGAUUUCACCAACCUGCUCUGCCAAGACUUCAAAGUCAAAUCCAAGCUGAGUUAAGGCAUCAGCAUAUUGGUCCUGAAUGCCAAGGUUUAUGACACUGUUAGUCAGAGACCGACCUGACAGAUCAAGUAAAGACAAAAACUUAAUAAGACGAAAGAUUCCAAAAAGAAAACUAAGAAUGAUUGCAUAGAAAAGGCCUAACUUUGCCACAAUUAAAUGCAACAAAAGAAAAUGACGUUCUGAGCAUGUGAAUGUCAAGUACCCAUAAGAAAUUCAAGGGAGAGGAAGUAAAUUCGCUUAGGAUCUUUCUUCUUAAAGUGCAGGUGAGUAUCAUGCCAUCGCUCAAUAAGCCGAUCCCUGACACUAUGUGCUAAUGCCUGCAUUGUCCAUAACUUCAUCGUUAACAGCUACUAAGUGGUAAUAUGAAAGGCAUAAUACACAACCAAAUAUUCAAACUUGGCCCUCAGCUGGCAAGUAAGCACUCUAACUUGCCAGCUAAGCACUCUAACUCCGAGAACGCACAUCCAGACACCUCAACUUGGUCUCAACUAACAACACUAAACACCCAACUCGUCCUUACUGUCUAGUGGACACCGGUUACUGACGUGGCAUUCUGGAGGUCUCUAGAUGAUCAUUUUGUAAGUUGAUUGCUCAACUGACACGAUGGAGACGAGUUGAGGUGUCGGAAUGUGCAUAUUCAACUUGUUUAGCUGUCAGGUGAGGCCAAAUUUGAGUGCGGGACAUACCUGGUAAGCUUCAAAAUCAUCAAAAUUAAAUCUUGAUCUAGCAACAGUGAACUCAACAUGAUCAAGAAUAUCUUUCUGUAAACUAAUCGAAUCGUUCUUCAAGAACCCAUCCAUCAACCUAAACAUCUUCUCCGCUUUCGCCUUCCUAUCCCCAAAUUCCAUCAUCAGCCCACCUUUCCUCACAAUCACGCCUCUCCCACUAACCGCCUGCGAAACUCCUUCACCACCACCACCAUCAUCCCCAUCAAUUGCUUCCAACAACGCCUUCUGUAUCCUCUCCAAAUGCUCCACUUUCUCAAUCUUCUUACCAUUAGAAUCACUAACAAAAAACUUCUUCAGAAAGAACUCUCCUUCAAAUUCAACUAUAGCCUUCUCAAUUGUAAGCCCGAGAACUUUGAACACCCGGGUAAUAAUUUGAAGAAGCCCAAUUCGGUUCUUGGCCCGAAUAACGAAAAGGGUCGUGUCUAAACCGUCGUCGUUUUGUACAUUGAUGGUAGAACUAGAACCAGAAGCUGUUUCGGUAACGGCUUGGUCAGAAGUAGUGGAAGAACAGACUAGUAGUUGUAAAUGACGGAAGUUAUUGGAGGAGAGCGAAGUACUGGAAAAUGGACGGUUGAGAUUGAAGAUUGAUGGAAAUGGGAGGUUGUUUAGAGGUGAUCGGACGGCUAGGAGAGGAACUGAGAUGGCAGCCAUUGCUCAAAAGUUGAAGGACUACUGAAACUCAAGUGGAGUCGUCCUAUUAGUGAAGUGAAGUAGUACAACACGGGAAAAGGUUGACCCCUUUUACUCAAAUAUCAUACACUACAAAGGUAAUAAAUAAAUAAUGUAUUAUAUCUUAAGAAAAGUAUUAAAAAGCGGCACUAAAGCUACCGCUAUGCAUGAUGUUUUGGAGUGUAUUGUAUAUAGAUUUACCUUACAUUUCUGCCAGAGAUUGUUUCCAGUACUAAAGCUAUACGCAGCACUAAAGCUACCGCCAUGCGUGGCAGGUCAGGGUUCAUUCUAACCCUCUUCGGUAGAAAAUUAUAUUAUAUAUAUAUGGUUAAAAAUAUUUUUUAUGUAUAUAUAUUAGAUGUUGAAUCCCCUAUUUUUUUAUAUCUAUAUAUUAGAUGUUGAACCCCCUUUGAUUAGUUUUUAUAUUCACUUAUGAACCCCUUAGCGAAAAUUCUGACUCUGCCACUGAUGCGUGGUGUUCGGGAGUGUAUCGUACGCAGCCUUACCUUACAUUUUUGCAAGAGGCUGUUUCCAAGGCUUGAACCCGCGACCUCCUAGUCACAUGGCAGCAACUUUACCAGUUACUCCAACGCUCCAUUGUCUUAAGAAAAGUAUUAAGCGAAUAAGAGUAAAAUUGAUUAUUAAAAAAUAAACUAUUUAUUAAUUUUUUAAAGCUAGAUAAGUAUUAUUGAACAUAUAUAUUUUCUUAGUGCAGUGAAUAAGUAGUGUAUCAUUCAUUUUUAUUUAUUCAACUAGAAGUGCAAGGCCCGUGUCAGCACGAGGCCAACAAUAGAACAUGUGGAUUGUAAUUUUUAAGUUUUAGGAUUUAUCUUGGAGUAGAAAAUUUGAGCAGUAAAAUAUUUUCAUUAGUAUGAUUGAGCUGAGGGGAUCACAAUUGAAACCUUUUUUUAACCUUCUUGUUGAAUUUUGCGAUCAGAAAUAUAAAGAAAGAUGAGGCGUAAAUCUGAUGAAAUAGCUUAAAUCAAAUAUCCAGUAGAUUAUUGAUUUUUAAUAUCGCAAAGAAUAAGAAUCAUGUAAACUUACCCGAUAAAGAGAAUACACACCUUAGAUUCGUUAUUGUUUUGUUUAAUUAUUAUUUUUAAAACAGAAAAAGAGUAUUAUUUUUUAAUAGAGAAGGAAGAGUUGAGAUUUUCUUUUCUUUGUUUUAUUUUUAAAAUAGAGAAAUGUUAAUUAAUAUUGAGGAGUUGUUAAAAGUUGAGAAAGAUGGCUACACAUAAUUGAUAGAAAAUUUGUUAAUGUUAAGAAAGUGCGAAGUGUUUGAUAGAAAAUUUGUGAUAGAUACACGUUUUUUGUACCUAAAUUUACUUUAUUUAUAUUUAAAUUAGUUUGUAAAAAUCUUUUAAAUAAUCUUUAUACUUCUUUUCUUUAAUUUUUUUAAAAUAUAGUAAUAAAAUUUACUUAUGUUUUAUUCUUCUCACACUUUACUACAUACAUUUUAUCCUCUUUAAAUCUCAUUAUGCCAUUUUACCCUCUUUAAACAUCACUGUACAUUAAAAUUAUGAUUGAAGCAGCUGAAGCUUCAAUCAGUCAAUUUUUAAUUUUUUUUUGUUAAUUAUUUUUAUUUACAGUACUUUUUAUUUCAUUUUCAAAUAAUAUAUGUUGUUUUAUAUCUUCUUCUGUCCCGUCUCAAUUUAUGUGNNNNNNNNNNNNNNNNNNNNNNNNNNNNNNNNNNNNNNNNNNNNNNNNNNNNNNNNNNNNNNNNNNNNNNNNNNNNNNNNNNNNNNNNNNNNNNNNNNNNNNNNNNNNNNNNNNNNNNNNNNNNNNNNNNNNNNNNNNNNNNNNNNNNNNNNNNNNNNNNNNNNNNNNNNNNNNNNNNNNNNNNNNNNNNNNNNNNNNNNNNNNNNNNNNNNNNNNNNNNNNNNNNNNNNNNNNNNNNNNNNNNNNNNNNNNNNNNNNNNNNNNNNNNNNNNNNNNNNNNNNNNNNNNNNNNNNNNNNNNNNNNNNNNNNNNNNNNNNNNNNNNNNNNNNNNNNNNNNNNNNNNNNNNNNNNNNNNNNNNNNNNNNNNNNNNNNNNNNNNNNNNNNNNNNNNNNNNNNNNNNNNNNNNNNNNNNNNNNNNNNNNNNNNNNNNNNNNNNNNNNNNNNNNNNNNNNNNNNNNNNNNNNNNNNNNNNNNNNNNNNNNNNNNNNNNNNNNNNNNNNNNNNNNNNNNNNNNNNNNNNNNNNNNNNNNNNNNNNNNNNNNNNNNNNNNNNNNNNNNNNNNNNNNNNNNNNNNNNNNNNNNNNNNNNNNNNNNNNNNNNNNNNNNNNNNNNNNNNNNNNNNNNNNNNNNNNNNNNNNNNNNNNNNNNNNNNNNNNNNNNNNNNNNNNNNNNNNNNNNNNNNNNNNNNNNNNNNNNNNNNNNNNNNNNNNNNNNNNNNNNNNNNNNNNNNNNNNNNNNNNNNNNNNNNNNNNNNNNNNNNNNNNNNNNNNNNNNNNNNNNNNNNNNNNNNNNNNNNNNNNNNNNNNNNNNNNNNNNNNNNNNNNNNNNNNNNNNNNNNNNNNNNNNNNNNNNNNNNNNNNNNNNNNNNNNNNNNNNNNNNNNNCUUAUAGCCAAUUAAAUAAAUAAAAAAAUUUACUUUUAAUAUGUAGUUAUAGUUAAUUAAUAUAAAUUAAUAGAAUAUAUUAAAUAUUUAAACCAUUAUGAUGAAACAAUGGAAUAAUUAUAUAUUGGGGUAUGGUAUGUAAUUAAGUGGGAGUAGAGGAGUUUUUAGGUAAUUGCAUAAGAGGUGGUCGAAACCACCUCUUCUAUAUAAUAGAAAUUUAAAUAUUUUAAAUUGUUAAUUAUUAUGAUUUGUAGUACUUUUUCUUUUAUCUCAAUUUAUGUGGCAUUGCUGAAAAAAUGAAAGUCAAUAAAAUUUCUAUAUAUCUUUUAAAUAUUUUAAAUUAUUAAUUAUUGUGAUUUGUGGUAACAAAUUAGUUUUGAACGUGAUAGCCAAUAAUAAAUAAUUUUUUUUUUUACUUUCAAUAUGUAGUUAUAGUUAAUUAAUAUAAAUUAAUAGAAUAUAUUAAAUAUUUAAAAUCAUUAUGAUGAAAUAAUAGAAUUAUUAUAUAUUGGGGUAUGAUAUGUAAUUAAGUGGAGUAAAGAGAUUUUUUGGUAAUUUCAUAAGAGGUGGUCGAAACCACCUCUUCUAUAUAAUAGAAAUGUAUUUAUUAAAAUAAAUGUCCAUAAUAAUUGAGGUGUUUGAAAAAUCAAUUCAUUUGUAUCCGUUUUAUCCUUAUGGAAAAAUUACUUAAAACUACACCUUAACUUUUCAUUAUUACUUAAAAUCCCAUUCCACUAAAUUAAUUACAAAAAUCUCUUCUAACUCAUAAAACCCUAAUAUUUGCUGAUACAUUACAACCCACCCUAUUUUUGCGCCUCCUGCUCUUCAAAACUCGCCCAAAAUCAUGGAUAAGUAUCCGAUAUUUUUCACCAACUCAGCAAUUUUGAAUUUCAAGCGUGUUAUCUGCCACUACUUCAACAUUCAAGUUUCAACUUUCAAUUACAAUCUCCAUUAACUUUCUUCUUCAAAUUUAUAGAAGGUAAGUUUGUUUUCAUCAUUUUUUUAUUAUAAAGACAGUGAUUUUUUGUGAAAAUAGAUCGAAGUAUCGUAACUAUUUGACUAUGAUGAAGAAACUGCGGGUGAUUGCUGGUAGUAGCAAUAAGAAGCAUAUUGUUGCAUCUGGGAAGAGGAAAAAAAAACAAGUUAAAAAAAAAGUUUUUUUUAUCAAAGGUAUGAAUUAUACGUAUUCUUGUUAACAUAAUGUAUCAUAUGAAUAAAUAAGUCUUCAAAUCGGGGAUUUCGAUAAUAAUAGAGAUGUGUUGCAGAUGAUCAUAUUGUAUUCAUACAUAUCUGUUUGUUCUGAUACAUCAUAAAAUUUAGGCGUGAUUUUGGUUCUUUCUACACCUGAUCGAUUCAAUAUAUUAUGCCUGAUACAUAGAUCCUAGAUCUAAGUCUUAAUAAGACAUUGCAUGCUUUCUGACAUAUAAUUCAACCUAUAUGUGAUUUUGGUUCAUUUUUAUACCCGAUACAUUUAAUAUACUGAUUAUGAUACAUAGAUCUAUUUUCUGACCAAACUAUUGAAUGUUUUCUGAUACAUAAAAAGAUUUUUAUGUGAUAUGGGUUUUGCAUUCCUGAUACAUUAAAUUUUUUACUCCUCCUACAUUUAAUAUAUGUAUGUGAUAUGGAUUUCGUAUUCCGGAUACAUUAAAUUUUUUACAUAGAACGAAAGAUAUAUAGGGGAUAUGGAAUUUGUACUUCUGAGACAUCAAAUUCUUAUAUUGUGUUUAAUUUUUUUCUGAACGCAGGGGAUGAGAUUUUUUAUGAUGAACAUGGAAUGAAUGAUUGGAGGAGGAAUUAGUUUUGGAAGAUUAUGAUUGAUGAAGCUUGAUUUGACUGACUAUUCAAAUUUCAAAUAAAGAAGUUGUUACAGAUUUUAUGUAAUUAAACAGACACAAUCUUAAAUUGAGUGUGUUAAUUACUAAAUUGUAGGCACUUUUACUGUUUUUUUCUUUUCUUUUUAAUCUCCAAUUAAUUAGUUUAGUAAUGUAUCAUAAACUUAUGUAUAGGAGAUUAAAUAAUGUAUCAUAUCCGGGAUAUUAUGUUAUUAAUAUAAAAGUUGGCAGAGAGAGUAGUUAGGUAACAAAAUGUUGGCAUUUAUGUAAAAUACCCUAAAUUUAAAGUUUCAGAGUAUUACUAUCUUCGUACAUUUUUACUUGUUCAAUAUAACAAAAAUAGUUGUACAACUUUAUUUUUUUCAGUUUAAAAAAUUAAGGGUAAAUUUCUCAUUUUAGUCUACUAUUGUAAUCUUAUUACUAGAUAUUGUUUGUUUCUCAAUAUUUCAAUGACUUUGAUUAUCAGGAGAAAUAUGAUAAAAUUAUUUUAUUUAUUUGUGUUUUUUAAGAAAUUUGCAAAGUCAAACAUGAACAAGUAAGAACGAAUGCAGGAAGUACAUUAAUAAAGUUAAUUUUAAAAAAUAACUUCAAUUAUUUAAAAAAAUAUAUGUAAAAUUAGUAAGGGUUAAAUAAUAUGAAACGAGGUGCAUAUCAUUCUAGCCCUAUUUUAGUAAUAGAGAAAAUACAUCAAAUCGUCCCCCAACUUGUUGCCAAAACUUACUUUAGACCCUAAACUAAUCGGCCAAUUAUAUACCCCCUUAAGAACUUUGAACUGAAUUUUAUACCACCCCAAAAGUGUUAUACCACUUUCAUUAUGGAGAGUGUAAUACACUCGCGUCAUGUCAGAGCCACGUCAAUAAUUUUUUUUAAUAAUUUUCAAACCAAUUUUAUAUAUAUAUUAAAAAAAAAUUAUUUCUAACCUUAUUCUUCAUCUUCUUCGACACCCCCACCCCCACACUAUGCACCAUUUUCCAUCUUCUCCAGCGCACCCCCUCCCCCCACCUCCCCACUAUCUCCACCACCAUUCUUCAUCUUUUUCACCGCCCCCGCCCCCACCCCCACCCCCACGACCAUUCUUUAUCUUCUCAUCCCACCCCACCCACUUUUCCACCGCCAAAUUGAGCUUCACCAGCUCUCCUCCCCCUUUCUUAUUCUUUCUUGUUCAACUUUUUUUUUUAUUCUAAACUUAAAUUUUUGAAAUUUGAUUUAUGAAAAUUUAAAAUUCGAUGAGAUUGUAUUUUGUUAGUGAAUUGGUUGUGGAUUUCAGAUUUUUCACACAGAUUCAAUGGUCUCACUCUCACUCUUUUUGGUGUUGUGAACUUGCAUUUUGAUUUGUAGAGCAAUAAUUGUUUAUCUUUCGAACCCAACUCAAAUUUUGGCAUAGGAUACUACUGUCUAUCUUUAUUUGAUGAAAAAUUAAUGCUUGAUUACUUGAUUCUUGUCUUCUGCUAAUGUUUGGAUUCGAUUAAGAACCCACAAUGGACAAACAAAAAAGUUGGAGAAGACAACCAAAUUAAAAAUAAAAAAUAAAAAGUGGGACCACAUAAAAAUUUAAAAAAAAUUAAGUAAGAUACUAAAUAAAAGAAUAAUAAAUAUAUUAUUAGUUAUAUGUUAUCAAAUAAAAUAAUGCCACGUGUAUGAUUAUAUUAAUUCAGAUUUUCUUUCUCUUUUUUUUCACACGUUUUUUGGAAAGUGAAUACACUCUCUCUGUUAAGGGGUGAAUUUAAUUCAGUUCAAAGUUCUUAAAAGGGGUAUAUAAUUAUCCGAUUAGUUUAGAGCCUAAAGUAAGUUUUGGCGACAAGUUGGGGGUGAUUUGAUGUAUUUUCUCUUAGUAAUUUGCUUUUAAACUUUAAAAAGUUUAUUCAUUUUUUAACCAUAAAAAUAAUAUUAGAAAUUCAUUAAUAUUGACUCUGAAAGAUUAGCGUAGGAUAGAUUAGGACAAAAGAUUAGUAGGAUGGAGUGUGAUUUUGAUAGUAGUGAAGCGUGUUUUGUUUUAUUAUUUGUACUAGAUAAGUAUUGGCCAUGCUGAGCACGUCACAUUGGAUUUUGAUAUAAUUUUUUAUGAGAAUCAUACCACAACUUAAAUUAUCAUAACUAUUUAAAAUCAUAAUAUUUUUAAAUAAUUACAUAUAUCUUCAAUUUUAUACGGAAGAAUAUAAUGUAUUUGUGUAAAAGUAAGCAAUAUAUCUAUGUAAAAAUUAACAUAUCCGAAAAAUGUGAUGUAUUCGUAUGGAUUAUAAUUAUGAAAAACAAAUUGAGAUAGAGAAUAAUUAGCUCUAAAAGGAUUGAGAGUUAGGUUACUUUUACAAUUUUUUUAUUUUAGUGUUUGUAUUGGUAAUGAAGAUAAAAGCCUAAAACAUUCAAUUUACUUGACAAAGUGCAAAGUAACAUGAGAAAAUUGAAGGAAAGGUGUCUUUUAAGUCUUGAAUGAAGGAUUGAUGACAUUGACCAACAGAUAGGGUCAAACAUCAUAAGGAAACUUGAUUAAGUUAAUUGUGGACCUGAUUAAUAUUUUCAGAACUUUUUAAUCUUUUCAAAAAUACAAAUCAACCUAACCCAUACCCCUCUUUAAUCCAAAUCAACUACUCUCUCCUCUCUCUCGACAACUUCUCUCAACUCUCUCCCAACCAAUAGUUCUGUAAAAAAUUUCCCUUCAACCCUCGACGACUUCUACCUCCGGUGAUAAAUAAUUGGGCUUCGAGUUCUCCUCCUUUCUCCCUUCAACCCCCGGCGACUUCUACCUCCGGCGACAAAUAGUUGGGCUUCGAGUUUCCCUCUUCAAUUCAAUCAACCUGUCUCUCAUCCCUCUCUCGACAGCUUCUCUCAACUCUCUCCCAACCAACUGUUCUGCAAAUUUCUCAUUUCAAUCCUUGGCGACUUCAACAUCCAACUACAAAUAGUUGGGCUUAGAGUUCUUUUUCGACUUCAACCUUCAAUCGACGUGACAACCUUGCUCUCCGGCCACAACAACUUCGAAUUCUUCAUCGUUCCUUUUCUUCUUUCACAGGUAAAAAUUUAUGGCCUUUUUAGUUUUGAAGAAAACGAGAAACUUGAGCUUCUUAUAGUAUUGGUUAACAAUUUCAAUAUUUGUUGCACUAAUUUGAAAUGCGGUCUGAAAUAGCCUUUUUAUUGUUUGUGUUUAUAAAAACAAAACGACAAUUUGGUUUGAUUUUGUCACGACCCGAAAUGGGGCCCUGACCGUGACGAGUAUUCCGAACCAUAAAGCCCGAAACACCCCUAUCUGUCUAAUAAUCAUGCACAUAAUUCAUGACAAAAGAAAUGCAAAAGAUACACAAUAUAACAGAAACAUGGUCAAGAAUCAUAUGAAAACGAAAAUGGGGAAUAGUGUCCCACAAUCUAAAUCAACAUCUCUAAAACCGUCUGCAAAAUCUNNNNNNNNNNNNNNNNNNNNNNNNNNNNNNNNNNNNNNNNNNNNNNNNNNNNNNNNNNNNNNNNNNNNNNNNNNNNNNNNNNNNNNNNNNNNNNNNNNNNNNNNNNNNNNNNNNNNNNNNNNNNNNNNNNNNNNNNNNNNNNNNNUGUCGGAAGAAAUUUACUGGUUAUCUGGACCCCUAGACUGUGCCUUCGAACCUGGGAGGAAAGGGGAUCAAUACAAAAGUACUGAUACGCAGAGAAAUCAAAACAGAAGUAUAAUAUUUUUUACAUAAUAUAGGUGAGAGACAUUAUAAAACAGUUUCAUAUCAAAUCAUUUGAAAACACAUGGGCAUAAUGUAAUUGUUUUCAAUAACAAUGAAAUGCAACUGAGCUAGGUGGAAUACCCUACAUAAUUUACACCAACUGUCAAACCCCGGUUGCCGCCGAGAUUAGAGUAUACGUGAGGGGAAGACACACAAGAUCACACAGCAUGGUGUCUCGACCCAAUGGUAGUGCCCAAGAUCACUUAGCUCGGGCUCCUACCUAUAAUCCCAAUUUGGGAAUGACGUAAAGUUAAGUACUCAAAAUCACUUAGCCUGGUACCAAAUUCCCGUGUCGGCAAACACGGUUUCCAGGGAUAAUCCCUUACACUCAAACGCCCUCUUCGGGCAUCCACCUAUCUCAUGUAAAAUCAAUGUAUUCAAAUUUCAUUAGAUUCAAUCACAUAUCAUAUUCUGUAGGGUAUCGUCAUACCCGACUUGCAAGCCAUCAAUAUCACAUCAUUCUUCUCAUUCAACCAUUGUAUUCAACAUGAAUAACCUUCUCGUGUUCAAGUCAAAAUCAUAUCAAUUCUCAAAACAUUUCAUGUAAUGCUCUUCAAGAUGUUUCAAACAAUUUACAUCAUAUGAAUAUUUAAAACAAAUUCACAUCAAGAGAGGAAAUUUCAUAUCAUUCAUGCUCUCAAGUUAACAUCUUUUCGGAAUACAUGCAUAUACAUAUAUCAUUAGCAAAUCACUUUGGGAGUAGGCCUAAAGGCCAAAUCAAUAUCAUAAAACGUUUAAAACAUAAUCAUAUUCGUAAUUUCAAAACCUCAUUUGAAAACAUGAAUUUUUAAAGCCCAUGAGAUUUUUGAGAUAACCCCACGCACCUCUNNNNNNNNNNNNNNNNNNNNNNNNNNNNNNNNNNNNNNNNNNNNNNNNNNNNNNNNNNNNNNNNNNNNNNNNNNNNAAAACCCAUGGUUGAAUCUUGAACUACUUGGGUUUUUAUUUUGAAACCCUAGAGAGAGUUCUUGAACAAUUUUGAUGAAUGAAGGUGUAUUUUGGGGUCUUUGAGAACUGAAUUUCAUGUUUAGGGUUAAGUAAGGGUGGAAGAGGACCAUUUUGCCCCAAAAACGGAGUGUUUAAGUCACCUGAAACCUUUACAUGGGCGCUGCCUAUGUUAUCGCCUAUGUUUACAUAGGCGCCGCCUACUACUUUGAAAGGCCAUAAUUUUUUGCUCGGAUGUCGGAUUUUAGCAAAAUUGGUAUCGUUGGAAAGCUAACUCGAAGACCUAUUAUUUGACACAUAGUAGGCUCUCUAAUUCGACAGAUAUAGAGUUAUGGUCAAUGGAAGCUGACACAAAUUACAACGUCUACUAAAACUUAACCGAUCGAAAUAGUUUCAACUUGUCCUUGAGUUGAAGGACCUCUAUGGUCUAAAUUCAAGCUUGAAUGUAUUCAUAUACUACGCAAAUAAUUAACAUGCCAUAUUGGCAUAGGAUUAUCAAUGCAUCGAAAUCAUGGUUUUUAUUCUAGCCCAAAAUGCGGGGUGUUACAGUAUCUCCCCCUUGGGAUCAUUCGUCCUCGAAUGAUGGGUAGGAAUAUAUUAAAGCUUAGAGGUAUGAAAUAAUGUGGACAUGAUAUGUUUCUCUAAGAAAGAAUGCACUGAUCUGAAACAUGACCAUAAGACUGGAACUACUGAUGCUCUAAAUUCUUAUACCGGACGUGCAUAUCUGAUGUAUGGAUUUGUUACUGAGUUGUUCUCAUGAACACGGAACUGAAUACACUGAUAAGCUGAACUUUUUCUAUUGAACAUGCAUUUCUAAAGUAUACAUAUCUGACUGAACUGACGUAUGAAUGUAUGACUGAAUACGCAAUGAUAGCUGGUGCGAGGCUUGUAAUAAGAAUCUAUGCACGCAACUGAAUGGGGUAUCUCUCCCUUGGUGCCCUAUGUCCCUCUAUGAAUGCUCAAUUCACUAAGAUGCUCAGAAAACUGAGGUGAUGCACUAGGCAGCUACAAAUUUAAUCAUAACUGAACAUCUGGAUUCUGAAUCUAGUACAUGACGCAUGAAUUGAGCUAUACUCACAAAUACUAGUAUACUCUAUCUUGGAAUAGUAACAUAUCUGAGAUUUUUGGGUAGCAUGAUUAAAUAAAGAGACGAGAAAACAAGUCAUGCGAAUCUGACUGCUAAACUGAUUUGCUGGCCACAUAAACUGAACUAUACUGGAAACUUAUACUCAAUCUGGAGUAUCUCUUCAAUACUCUUACUAAAGAAGUUCUAGCAGUAAUAGGGAGCCACGAAUCUUGGGUAUGGAUUACACGAGACAUCCAAUUGAGGAAAUCACAAAAUUUACUCUACUCUGCAGUCUGGAAUAUAGACAUAUAACUCAUAAAUCAGGAUGGAAUUACCAAUCCUUAGUCAAUGCGACUUCUUACUUUCAAGCUUAGCACACUUCUNNNNNNNNNNNNNNNNNNNNNNNNNNNNNNNNNNNNNNNNNNNNNNNNNNNNNNNNNNNNNNNNNNNNNNNNNNNNNNNNNNNNNNNNNNNNNNNNNNNNNNNNNNNNNNNNNNNNNNNNNNNNNNNNNNNNNNNNNNNNNNNNNNNNNNNNNNNNNNNNNNNNNNNNNNNNNNNNNNNNNNNNNNNNNNNNNNNNNNNNNNNNNNNNNNNNNNNNNNNNNNNNNNNNNNNNNNNNNNNNNNNNNNNNNNNNNNNNNNNNNNNNNNNNNNNNNNNNNNNNNNNNNNNNNNNNNNNNNNNNNNNNNNNNNNNNNNNNNNNNNNNNNNNNNNNNNNNNNNNNNNNNNNNNNNNNNNNNNNNNNNNNNNNNNNNNNNNNNNNNNNNNNNNNNNNNNNNNNNNNNNNNNNNNNNNNNNNNNNNNNNNNNNNNNNNNNNNNNNNNNNNNNNNNNNNNNNNNNNNNNNNNNNNNNNNNNNNNNNNNNNNNNNNNNNNNNNNNNNNNNNNNNNNNNNNNNNNNNNNNNNNNNNNNNNNNNNNNNNNNNNNNNNNNNNNNNNNNNNNNNNNNNNNNNNNNNNNNNNNNNNNNNNNNNNNNNNNNNNNNNNNNNNNNNNNNNNNNNNNNNNNNNNNNNNNNNNNNNNNNNNNNNNNNNNNNNNNNNNNNNNNNNNNNNNNNNNNNNNNNNNNNNNNNNNNNNNNNNNNNNNNNNNNNNNNNNNNNNNNNNNNNNNNNNNNNNNNNNNNNNNNNNNNNNNNNNNNNNNNNNNNNNNNNNNNNNNNNNNNNNNNNNNNNNNNNNNNNNNNNNNNNNAAUUUGAGUGCCUUACUUGGUCAUUCGUUCUAUCAUCUCCCCCUUAGCUUUGAGUCAUCAUCUAGAGUUUAGGAGAUCCCUUACCAGAUUCUAACUGAACUACACUUACUGCACUCUAGGGUCUGAAAGAAAAAAAAUGACAAUACAUGCAUAUCGUAGACUUAACCCGAAUGACUACCUUCUGGGAUACACUCUAUCUUUCCAUAGCCACCAAUAGUCAUAGUAUAAUGCUUGCACACUUAUUUCUAUCGGUUCAACCUUCAAAACUCGAACUUAGAUUCUAACACUUAACAUGGCUAUUUAGAUCACCAUAUACCAUCUAACUAGUCUUUUUCCACUUAACAAUUCAAUGGUACCACUAGCCACACAAAUUAUGUAAUAGUCUUAGAAAAAUAUGCCGCAACCUCAUAUUACCUUGGAAUACUUCUACACCAUACCUACAACAUUAUACUUCAUUACGAAUCAAUUUAAACUUAAGCUAUUUCAUACACCGUUCAAGCCUAUUAGAUCACCUUCAUAUAACUAACAUCAUUGAUCAGGAAAUCAUCACAUCCACCUUUAUGAACUUCAACUGUUCAAACUUAAUAUCUAGUGCUAAAAAUGAUUUUACAACCCAACCUUACGCAUGAUUCUCACUUGGAAACCAUGAAAUAAACAUCAAGAAACACUGGCACACUAGAACUUCAUAACAACAAUGAUCGACCUUGACCUUACGGUCUUCCUUAUCAUAACUCAUUACCACGUACUAUUUCAACACAUCAAGCCUGCUAAUAUUUAUUCCCACAAACAUACAUCAUUAAUCUCAUGCCACUAUUCUUACAUCCACAUCCUACAUUAGAUUCAAUCCAAUAGUCUAGCAUCAAUCAUCUACCACCAAUGAUGAGGGAAACAUAAUAUACUAAUCCAUCAAAUUGGAACAUUCUAUCCCAAAUACUUCAAAAUCUGCUACAUACCUUCUCAUAAGUAGUACUAGUUUACAACUACCAACAAAAGAAGGUCAAGGGGGUAAGGUCACAUAAUAGACAUGAUCAACCUUAAUCUUAUAUUAUAAUUCCAUACAAUCUUUUCUACUUAUACGGAUUUCUGACCUUAUACUUACUCACUCAAUCAUACCUUUAGACUACCUUCAAUUUCCAGUAACCAUGAGUCUAUAAUUAUAACUUAAUGGCUAAUACAACCAUUUUCAUACUUCAAGCAACCGACAAAUCACCCUGACUAACAACCCCUUCUCUACCUUCUACUAAACUAACACACAAGGAUGAAUCACCUCUUUACCAACUCAAUCUCAUGCAAACAGACUCAGCUAUACAUAUAUUAAACCAACACAAGAACAANNNNNNNNNNNNNNNNNNNNNNNNNNNNNNNNNNNNNNNNNNNNNNNNNNNNNNNNNNNNAAUUUUUUUUCAAAAACACCAUGAUAACAAGAUUACAUAUUACAAGGGAUAGAAAAUGGACACAUAAUAUUUAAUGGUCUAAGAAUAUACAUAUUAUUCUGUAUAAAUAAAAAUCUGAGUAAAACACUUCCUCCAUGGACUACCAUACCAUCCACACACGCUGCUAGCUACCACAUUGGUUUAUCACUAUAAAGGGGUAAAUCACCCUCAAAUAUCGGUUAUUCAACUAAAACAUUUAUUUACACAAAAGUCAGACUUCUAACUUUGUGACUUCACAUCACCGAUUUCUUGGUCUAAUCUCACUACCAAUAGGUCAUGACACCGACACUUUAACUCAUACUACUAUUCGGGUGGAAAUACAGUUCCAAUAAUUCUGCUACACAUCAUUUCCUUAAGCAUGACAUCUACCAUAUAAAUUUUUGAAAAGGACUGAAUACUCUUAAUACUGUAGGCUGAAAAGCACGAUUUCAUCAAAAUCAAGGUUUACACUAGAACCAACACAUUCUGAAGCACUAACGAACUCUUAUCAAGUCCUUGCAAAAAUCUUAUAUGAUUCGAUUAGAACGAACCAUACCAUUUAGACUCUAAACUUCUGUACUUGAAUCGCCCCAGUAAUGUGACGGGUCUGAGAACAUCAGAGUAAGGAAAAAAUUUGGGAUGAUUGUUACUUUCGUAUGGGCGACACCAUAGCACGAAUUUGAGUAUGAAAGAGGAACACUCUGACUCUAUUGCACGAACUAGAACAUAAAGAAAAAGAGAAAUUCCUAAACUCCUAGUAGCCUUCUGCUUAUAAGUGUGGCACGCUACACACCCAUAAACAAGACUCUACUCGAUGCAAUUUUGUAGACACCCUGGGACUAUGAAACGUGCUUUGAUACCAAGUUUGUUACGACCCUAACCAGGGUCCUGGCCAUGACGAGCAUUCUGAAGCAUCAAGGCCCAAAACACCCCUAUCUAUCUGAUAAUCAUGCAGAUAAUUCAUGAAAAAAGAAAUGCGGAAGAUACAUAAUAUACGGAAACAUGGUUAAGAAUCAUAUGAAAAUGAAAAUGAGGAAUAAUGUCCCACAAGCUAAAUCUACAUCUCUAAAACCGUCUACGAAAUCUCUACUACAUGACUGAAAUAAUGUCUAUUUGAAAACUGGGACAAGGCCCCCAGCAGACCUAAAACUAAUAAAUGAUAAAUGAAAUAGCAGACGUCAGGCCUUCCAAAAUAUAGAAGGCUCACCACUUGAUUCUGCGAUCCAUCGGAAGAAAUUUAUUGGUUAUCUGGACCACUAGACUGUGCCUCCGAACCUGGGAGGGAAAGGGGUCAAUACAAAAGUACUGAUACGCAGAGAAAUCAAAACAGAAGUAUAAUAUUUUUUACAUAAUAUCGGUGAGAGCCAUUAUAAAGAAGUUUCAUAUCAAAUCAUUUGAAAACACAUGGGCAUAAUGUAAUUAUUUUCAAUAACAAUGAAAUACAGCUGACCUAGGUGGAAUACCCUACAUAGUUUACACCAACUGUCAAACCCCGGUUGCCAUCGAGAUUAGAGUAUAUGUGAGGGGAAGACAUACAAGAUCACACAGCAUGAUGUCUCGACCCAAUGGUAGUGCCCAAGAUCACUUAGCUCGGGCUCCUACCUAUAAUCUCAAUUUGGGAAUGACGUAAAGUCAAGUACUUAAGAUCACUUAGCUUGGUACCAAAUUCCUGUGUCGGCAAACACGGUUUCCAGCGAUGAGCCCUUCCACUCAAACGCCUUCUUCGGGCAUCCACUUAUCUCAUGUAAAAUCAAUGCAUUCAAAUUUCAUCUAAUUCAAUCACAUAUUAUUUUUCUGUAGGGUAUCAUCAUACCCGAAUUGCAAUCCAUUAAUAUCACAUCAUUCUUCUCAUUCAACCAUUGUAUUCAACAUGAAUAACCUUCUCGUGUUCAAGUCAAAAUCAUAUCAAUUCUCAAAACAUUUCAUGGUAUGCUCUUUAAGAUGUUUUCAAACAAUUUACAUCAUAUGAACAUUUAAAACAAAUUCACAUCAAGAGAGGAAAUUUCAUAUCAUUCAUGCUCUCAAGUUAACAUCUUUUCAAAAUACAUGCAUAUACAUAUUUCAUAUAGCAAAUCACUUUGGGAGUAGGCCUAAGGGCCAAAUCAAUAUCAUAAAAUGUUUAAAACAUAAUCAUAUUCGUAAUUUCAAAACCCCAUUUGAAAACAUGAAUUUUUAAAUCCCAUGAGAUUUUUGAAAUAAUCCCACGUACCUCUAUACGCAAAUAUGAUAGGUUCUUCUUGAAGCCUACGUUGCGGAGAUUUCAAAUCUUCAAUUUGUUUUGAAAACCCAUGGUUGAAUCUUGAACUACUUGGUUUUUAUUUUGAAACCCUAGAGAGAGUUCUUGAAUAAUUUUGAUGAAUGAAGGUGUAUUUUGGGGUUUUUGGGAACUGAAUUUCGUGUUUAGGGCUAAGUAAGGGUGGAAAAGGACCAUUUUGCCCCAAAAACGGAGUGUUUAAGUCACCUGAAACCUUUACAUAGGCGCUGCCUAUGCUAUCGCCUAUGUUUACAUAGGCGCCUCCUAUGCUAUCGCCUAUGUUUACAUAGGCGCCGCCUACUACUUUGAAAGGCCAUAACUUUUUGCUCGGAUGCUGGAUUUUAGCAAAAUUGGUAUCGUUGGAAAACUAACUUGAAGACCUAUCAUUUGACACAUAGUAGGCUCUCUAAUUUGACAUAUACAAAGAUUUAUGGUCGAUGGAAGCUGACACAAAUUACAAGGUCCACUAAAGAUUAACCGAUCGAAAUAGUUUCAACUCGUCCUUGAGUUGAAGGACCACUAUGGUCUAAAUUCAAGCUUGAAUGGAUUCACAUACUACGCAAAUAAUUAACAUGCCAUAUUAGCAUAGGAUUUGUGGCUUUGGAAUUAUCAACGAAUCAAAAUUAUAGUUUUUAUUCUAGCCCAAAAUGCGGGGUGUUACAGAUUUAUUUUGUUCUUAUUCUUGGUAAAAAUGGUGAAAUUGCUAUUUUUUGUUGAACAAAAUUGUGCUACUAUUUUUUGUUUUCUACGACAGAUUACCCAUCUGGUGCAACAUAUUAACCAUCUGAUGCAACAAAUUUAUUAUAUGAUGCAACAGAUCAACCAUCUGAUGCACCAGAGAAACCAUCAGAUUAUAAUUUUGAUGCAACAGAUUAAUAAUCUACUGCAAUAACUUUACCAUAUAUUGCAAUAGAUUAAGCAUCGAAGAAAAAAUUUGAUGCAACUAAUUAACCAUCUGGUGCAAUGAAAGAACCAUCAGAUUAAUGAUCUAAUGCAAUAGAUGAACCUGGAUAAAAUCCUAUCAACUCUUCCUACAGGAAAUGUCCAAGACUUGAUUUUUCCAACUGAUCAUUCAUUUGCCGCGAUAGACGACCCUAUGUUGGAAGAAAUCUAAACAAUAUUGACCAUUGAUAACUAUUCCAACAGAUCACUCAUGUGUUGCAAUAGAUGUGUAAACUGUUGCACAAACCAUUUAUCUUUAUCAACAGAUGAGUGAUAUAUUUUGUAUUAUCAUGACAUAUUAUUUAAAUAUUCCAACAGAUCACUCAUAUGUUGUAACAGAUGAUUCACAAUAGUUGUGUGAUCUGUUAAAUAGACUAUUCAUCUGUCUUAAAAGAUGAGUAAUAUAUUUUGUAUUGUUGAAAUAGAUUACUCAUCUGCUGCAACAGUUUGGUUAUAUCCUACAAUAGAUAUACUACCUAAUGCAAAAGAUCGGUGAUCUGUUGCAACUGUUAUUUUAUUGCUUUGCUUGUUUGAUUUACUAUUAUCCUUUUUAAUGAUGCAUUAAUCAACAAUAAUAUAUUAUUUUAUGUUCCUGCUAAUUUUAGAUAAUAUGAUUCCCAAAAGAACAGAAACCGAAUCAAGUCCAAGUAAAGGAACAAGUGAAGCAGCUAGGCUACAUCCACCACUCUAUGAGCUUGUUUUACAAGCGUUAUCUCAAUCGGGAGCAGAAUAUGAUGAACAUGGAGAGUAGGGAUAUUUCAAAAAAGAUGAUGCAGAUGCUAAUAGCCCUUCUACCAAAUAGCUGGUCAAAGCCUUCAACAUUGAUCGUUAUCCUAUGAGAAUGCAGUGUGAUGGUGCCGCAGAUUUAACGGGUGAUUUCGUGGUUAAGUCAGCCAUGAGAAAAUCUUUCGAUGCCUUCAGAAAAAUACUUCAAGAACAAAAAUUGGAUUCUUAUUUCAGGGACAGCUGCUUUGGGAAAUAUCUUGAUUUGCCGGAGGACAACAAUGCUCGAUUCUAAAUGAAAAUAGUUUAUGAACUUCUCAAGCAGAGGUUUAUGUAUGAAAACAAAGAUAAGAUGGAUGAGGUGUGGAUAAAUUACUGUGGCAUACCUGUUUAUUUUGGUUGGAAGGAGUUUGCCAUAGUUACUGUACUCAAAUAUUAUCCUCCUUCUCAAAUUAUACCUAUUCUAACCCCAAAAAAGCACCCCGCACACCCAAAAAAGGCAAAGACAAGUCAUGUGAUUGUGAUGAACUGAUGUCCAUUGUUGGUCCAAGCUUCAAAAACAAAAAUUUAAUAGAAGCUUUGAAAGGUAAAGGACUUUCAAAGAAGCACAAGCAGUCAUUGUGCUUGAUUUGGUUUGUACAUAAUAUUCUUUGGGCGAGAGACGUUAAAAACAACAUAAGACUCGCUUUAAUAAAGCUCUCCGAGGAUCUUAAUGCAUUUAACAGCUAUCCUUGGGGGUAUGAAAGCUUCAAAAUAAUUGUCAAAUAUUUGUUGACUCCCUUAGCGCCAAAGACAGUCAACUUAUAUGGCUUGCCAUGGGCUUUCAUGGUAAAUGUUUCUUUCUUCUAUUAUGAUAUCAUUUAUUUUUUUCUCUCAAUAAUGGUUUUGAUUUAUUGGCAUUAUUUUAUAGGCUUGGGCGUUUGAAGCCAUUCCUUAUUUGAGACAACAAGUGAACUACCAGGAAGGAGUUUUCUGUCCAAGAAUCUUGAGAUGGUUGUCGGCCAAAACUGAUAAAAAUGCAAAAUUUCUUGAUCUCUUCAACCCCCCAAAGGAUGCAGUAAGUAUAAUUAUAAUUAAUUUUUUCUUUUAAUUAAUGAUUUUUUUUGAAUGAUCUUAUCAUCAUUCUAAUAUAUGUAAUGAUUUAUGUUAGAUGUGCAUCCAUCGCUAGUUUCGACCUAUCGAGAGUUGAAGAUGUCAUUUUUUCUUACUUUACGGUCUGUGCAAACUUUAUCGGACCCUAAGGUCAUCGACAGAAUAAAAAUAGAAUUGUUUGGAGCAACAACCAUUACAAGAAAAAUAAUUUUGGAGGGUGGGAUUAUUGUUGUGAUGGUCUUAGUGGUGAUGGAGCUGUUGGUGGUGGUAGUGGUGCUGCUGUUGGUGCUAAUGAUGCUCCUCUUAUAGUAUUUAAAGCAAACCAUUAUGAGUAUGAUCAUACUGGUUAUACAGAUUUUGCCUUUCCUAGCGAGUGUUCUGCAUGCAAAUGUCAAGACUGCAGGGCGAAACAUGAUGUAGUGAUUAAUGAUAUUAAUGCAUUAACUUCUUUUGUUAAGGAAUUGACAUCUAAGAGAGGUAUUAUUCCAUCAAAGAGGAUUUUAUUUCCAUUCGCUCCAUUAGAGAUUAGGGCUAAGAGGAGAAGAAGAGUGAUUUCUAAGGCAUUAUCAAACAUCCAAAAAAGCGAAAUUGCAACUCCUCUGUCUGUGUGUUGCACUGAGCAACGUAUAAUGUCCAAAGGAGAGCAACACGAGCUGAAGAAGGUGAAUAUAUUAUAUGUCUUCCAACUGACAAAACAAACAGACAUAUAUCUGUUUCAACAGAUGACACAUCUGCUAAAAAUUAUCAAAUAGAUAUAUACACCUGUUGCAACAGUUGACUAACCAGUUGCACCAGAUAAACAUGUCUCAUCAGUAUUAGAAAAUCAAAUAGCUCUUCGUACCGCUUUUAUUUAUACCAACAGAUGAUUCAUAUAUUGCAACAGAUGGUUCAUCCAUUGAAAAUUAUCACACAGGGUCUUCCUCAUGUAGAAAUUUGUCCUAAUAGUUGAUUCAUUAUUGCAACAGAAAUAUAAUCUGUUUGGGAUAAUUUAGAAUGGGAGGAAGACCUGUUUGAUUUGCUAGAAGAGAUAAGUUAUCCCUUUUUAUUUUGUUGUAUCUCCGUGAUUAGCAUUGACCAAUUCUGUCUUUCUAUGUAGAUGUAGAAAAAGCUACUGCUGAACAACAUUAACAAUAUGCUACUCUUUUUAUGGAAAUACAAAGAACAGAAAGUGCAGAAAUUGUACGUAAGGGACAAUAAAGAUCCACGACGAGCAAAUCCGAAUUUCAUAGCUCCGGAUGAAGAACAACUUGUCCAUACUGAGUAGAUCUUUAUAGGUUGAGUUUGUCAAAGAAAUCCUUGACAGUAUACUUAAAUCGUUGUUGAUGUAUUUGUUGAGAUCUGUACCCAUAACAAUUUUUUUACAUUUUAUUUAUUUGUUGACUUAUUUCAGCUAAUUUAUGAAGGCUUCGAUUUAGUUUAUUUUGUCUAUGAAUUUUAUUUAUUCCUUAGAUUUGAACUUAUUAAUUGAAAAGGAAUACUAGAUUUAAAUAUUGUAACAGAUAAUAUAUCUGUUGCAACAGACGACACAUCUAUUGGAAAAUUCAAACAGAUUUAGACGUAUGCUGCAACAGGUAGGUGAUCUGUUAGAAUUUAUCAAACAGGUCUUCCCACUGAUGCAACAAAUGGACUUUAGAUAAAAAUAUCAAGAUAAUGCAAUAGAUGACACAUCUAUUGGGAAAAAAAAGAACAGAUUUAGACAUACGUUGCAAUAGAUGGACUUUAUCUGUUGCAACAGAUGACACAUCUAUUAGAAUAAUCGAACAGAUUUAUACAUAUGUUGCAACAAGUAGGUUAUCUGUUGGAAUUUAUCAAACAAGUCUUCCCACAAUUCCAACAGAUGAACUUUAGACAAAAACAUCGAGAUAAUGCAACAGAUGUGAGAUGACCAACCUAUUGCAUCAGAUAAACUAUAUGUCAGAACAGGUAGGAUAACUGUUACAAUGGAUGGAGAAUCUAUUGCAUUAUAAAAAUUCAACUUUUGUUGGACAUAAAAAAUUGCCACUACGUUUAAAAAGGUUAAAGUGAAUUGAAAUAAAAAAGGCGCAACCCAUCGAUGGUGUUCAGUUCAAACACCUAAAAUAAAAUAGGCAUCAAGUAGACAUGUUCAUUUUAAAGAUGUAAAAUAAAAUAGGCAUCAAAUGUGUUAGUGUCAGUCCUGACACAUUUUGCUGACUUGCCGUCACUUGGCCCCAACUGUCAUUUUUUCCCCCCAUUAUCUUAUAUAUUCACCUUCCUCCUAAAAUUUAACCCUAAAUUUCCAAAUCUUCUUUUUCAUCGUCAUCUUCUUUUAUCUAUCCAAAUUCUUCAAAUUAUUUCUUUCAUUUUUUCCAACUGACCUUGACAAUGUCGAGCGCAUCUUUCACUAUUUUUUGUGAUAAAGAUUUUUGAUAUUGUAAGUGCGGUCAUGAAGCUCUGUUAAAGACUUCUUGGAAUCAAAAAAAUUAGGGUCGUAGGUUUUUACUUGUAAGAUUUCAAAGGUAAUAUUUUUUUUAUUUAAUUAAUUGAUUAAUUAUUGACUUGUAAUUAUUUUGUAAUUGUGUUCUCUUUUUUAUAGAAAUUGGGUAGAUGCGAUUACUUUUAUUAAUAUGAAGAACGACACCCUUCAUAAGAAAAUCGUGUAAUCUGGGGUUUGUUGAACAAAGUCAAGGCUUCUGAAGAGAAACAAAAUCGAGCAAGAAGAUACUACAUUGUUGCCGUUAUUGCUACUGGUUUGGUAUUGUUGGGCACAUGGAUAUUGAAGCCUAAUUGCUAAAAUUUUCAUGGUGGUGUGUGUAUUUGCUACUGGUUUAUUGUCGACGAGCACAUAGAUAUUCAAGCAUAACUGUUGGAAAACAUCAAAAAGAUUUAGGUAUAUGUUGUAAAAUUUAGGUCAUCUGUGGAAAUUAUCAAACAGGUCUUCCCACUGUUGCAACAGAUUAGACUUAAAUUAUUAGAUUAUUCAUAGAAAUUAUCAAACAGGUCUUCCCACUGUUGCAACGUAUUUGACUUAGAUUAUUAGAUUAUUCAAACAAGUCUUCCCACUGUUGUAACAGAUUGACAAUCUAAUCUAUUGCAUUAUAAAAAACUUAACUUUCAUCAGAAAAAAAUUAUUGUCACUACAUGUACAUAUAAUAAAGUGAAGGACGACUUGAAAUUAAAAAUUUCUAUUUCACAGGCUCUUCUAUAUACACAGGCUUCAAGCGUCCAGUUAGUACCCCAUAAGCCCAGACCUCUUGCAGGUUUGCCACAGCGUUGUCGCACAAAAGAGUCAUUGGCUCGGAUAUUUCUGUGCCGGUCAGCAAACAUUCAAUGUGUGCAAGAGCGUACGAGCCUCUCACUUUAGCGGCAUCAUCUUUUGGAAUGAUCAUUCCCCUGUUUUGACAUUCAAAAUCCUAUGAUUUCUUCAUCAACACUUCCUUUGGCAAAUGAUUCAUCAGUUUACUCUCCCUCAACAAGAUGGGCAAUAGCACCAUCAGUGGCUCCACAAGGAGAAAAAGAUCAAAAUUGUCGACGAAAGGUAUGUUGGAGUCAUAAAGAUUGAUCUUUCCCUCCUCAAGUAGUAUCUCAACAUCCCGAUAAUGCAUGCCGUUCACGCUAAUGACUGCAAGAAUCCUUUUUGCCUCGGUCCAGCUCUUGCUGUGUGGAUUUGGCCUGUCCCCUCUAACAUAUCUUAACAUUUCUUCUUCAUCCAAGACCAACGUAAAAACUAGAAAAUCAAGUCCACUGCCAAGAGCUGAUGCCUCUCCAUUGAGUUGAUCGUACUUAUCCUUGAGCUUCUUGCAGAAGUUGAGGUCCAUUAUCCUAUCAGCAGCGUCAUAAGCUUCCCGAUACGUUAAUUGCCUUUUCCUCAUGAGGCAGAGAAUUAUGUCAACAUGUUGUGAGAUAAGAAGUCAAUUUUUAAAUAGGUUAGCAAUUGUAAAGAGUCAAUGGAUAGUCUAUCUGUUGCAUAGGGUUCUCUGAAUCAAUAAUCCAAUACAACUUAUGCAACAGAUGGAUAAUAAGUUGCAACAAAACCACAACUAGUUGCACCAGUAUACCUAGUUGUUGCAAUAGAUGUAAAAUCUGUUGCAUAGCUUCUUCUUCAUAGGGUAGAUUAGAAGGGCUAGGUUAGGAAAAGUAAACUUGUCUUAUCCUCGUAUGACAUACGUAUAUCAGUCAUAGUCUGGAAGUCUUGGGGGGAAAGGGAGGCCUGGGGUAAUCUAGUGUGCCUGGCUUGGCAUUCUUGGCCUAUCGCAGAUCCCUUUUCUCUUCGGCGCCAAGUCCCGCAUAUAUGUCCACCUUAUUGACUGGCCCCAGAACUUCAACAACUUUUGGAGAGGGAGGAAUUUCAAUUUGUUUUGAUUUUCGAGAGGAGAGAACGUCUCUAAUUGCUCUUUUCUUUCUCCUAACCAACGCUGUAGGAGUGUGUGGCUCCCUCACCUUUUUGGAUGGUAUGACACAUCUCUUGGAUGAAUUCCUCGAUAGCUUUAGAGGUGGCCUCUACUUUUUCAAAGAGUUUAUCAUGUCUGUCCUUGCAUUCAUUGCAUUCGCAACAAGAACAAGAGGGUGAAGAGGGACCUGUGUAAAGGCGAAAAGGGGUGUUCUCAAACAUAUUUAUUCUUUCUUGAGCAUCAACAUGCUCAUCAUCACGAGUGGUAGCAGCAUCAGCAUGCCUGCCACCAAUACCAACAACUCUACCAGAAGAAGCACCCGGAUCUGCCUUAGUAAAAGGUUGGUCAUGAAGAGCCUUAACAUUAGGCAGACCUUGCCUAACUGCUCUUCUUAUGGCUGUUGCUCCAGCCAAUUCCUUCUUUAUUAACUCCAUCGUUAGGUCUGCAAUAGUAUCAACAUGACCUAGAGUAAUAUAAGAAGUCAUCACCGACUCCUCCUCAGUAGGCACGAUCCAUGGAUGCACAACCUAUAAAAAAGAAAAAAAAGACAGAUGCAUUUAAAUCAUAUAAUAUAAUAAUUUUCAUAGUUGGGCUACACUUUCAAAAGAAAAGACCCAUCUAUUACAUAGUUUGCAGUAUAUAGUUAAAAUUCAUUUGAGUCUGGUUCAGAGAAAUAGAGCAAUACAUGGAUAAUCUGAUGCAAAAUAUCAAUCAUCUAUUGCAACAGCUACACAAGAUGGGUAAUCUGUUAUGCAACAGAUGAUCUGUAAGUCACAACAGAUGAAUGAUAUGUUAUUAGAUUAAACAUCUGUUGUAUAAUCUGUAGUAGAUAGUUAAUCUUUUAGGAGCCGGGUUCAGAGAAUCAAAGCCACAGAUGGGUAAUCUGAUGCAAGAUAUACCCCAUUGCAAUAGAUGUCCGAUCUGGUACAUCAAAUAUAACAUCUCAUACACCAGAUAUAACAUCUGUUCAAUAUCUUUCUUAUCUUUGAGUAGAAUUAUUUUACUUGAAGAAGACGUACUGCAUCAUUCGGAGAGUUAAAGAGAUCAGUCUCCUUAAUAUUGGUGUUGCUCUUUCCAACCAACCACCUAAACAUCCUUGGAUGAGAAAUUUCAUUCGGGUAAUCCAUUAACUGCUUUCGGAGGGGAGGAAUGGCUUCAAAUGCCCAAGCCUAAAAAGUGUAAACAGGAAGCAAGCAAAAAAAAUCAUAAUAACUAUAUUCAAUAUAAAUUAAUGAAUGAGUAAAAUUAGUGAUUAAUUUUACCAUGAAAGCCCAAGAAAAACCGUAUAAUGUGGUCGUCCCUGAGGAUAGCUUUGUCAGUAAAUAUUGGACAGUCAAGUAGAAGCUGUCAUAUCCCCAGAGAUAAUUGUUGAAUUUAUCAAAAUCCUCAGCACGAGCCAACAAAUCAUCUUCUAUAACCUUGUUGACGUCUCUUGCCAAUAUAACCGAAUGGGUAAACCAAACUAAGCACAAUUGCUCCCUGUACUGCUCUGGUAUGGUUUUAUUCUCGAGAUCUAUCAACAAAUCUGAUGCUUUGUAGCCACGUCGAGCAAUGUCAAACAACCCAUCUAUUUUUAUCUUGCAUUUUCUUUCCUUGGAUCUUUUGUAGGGUGGUGGUCCUUCUGGACGAUGGCAUCUCAGGACCGUCACUAUGGCAAACUCAUGCAAGCUAAAACAAACAGGCAUGCCACAGUAGUUGAUCAAGAUUUUAUCCAUCUUCUUUUUGCCCCCCUCCUUUAGAUCUUUAUCAUCCCUCGUAUACUUGAUCCUACGCUUAAGAAGACCAUAUAUCAUCAUCAUAGGGAAAUGGAUAUGGGAAGAGGGGUCCUCAGGUAGCUCAAGAAAGCAUCCAAAGCAGAUUUUCUGAAAAAGUUCGCUUAUGUUUUCGUUCUUCAUAAUUUUCAUAAAAGUUCAAAAAUUUUCCCCAUCUGACAUUUAAGUACAAGUUGACCAGUUAGUUGUUUUCCGUCUGGGUCAUUUAUCGGCAUCGCAACUUGAAACCUGUCAAUACUAAAAGUUUUGACUGGAUCAUGCUGGGAUGUCGAUAUUAACUCACACCCCUUCGGUGAUCCAUUAUCAUCAUAUUGAUGAUCAUCCUUUUUCUCUUUCUGACUCUCCGAUUCCUCCUCUUUCUCACUUUCAUUUUAUUUAUCACCAUCUAUGGACCCUUGUCUACCUCCUUCAAUGUUGUUUUCACAUCUCUCCUCAGCUUCACUUUUCCCUGACUGAGAUUGUUCAGGAAGCUCCUCCGAAACCCUCUAUACUAUAGCCUUUUUUUUCAGUGGUCAGACGCUGAUCCACUUUCACUUUCUUUUCUUUUGGGAGACAUGUUAUACCUACAGAAAAAGAAAAACAAAAAUUACAUUACAGUUGAUGUAUGCAUAGAUUUUAAAAAAUACAUUACAAACACCACGAAUACCGACACACCAACAGCCACCACCACAAACACCACCAACCAAUGCCAACAAACAAACAAACAGCACGAAUACCAAUACCACCAAAAACACCACCAACCAAUGCCACCACCGGUGCCACCAGGACGACCACAAACACCACCACCUCCACCAUCACCACCAACACCAUCCAAAUAUACCACGAUAGUCAACGGAACAGUGUGAUGGAAACUAGGGAUUUCUCAAGUUCUUCCUACAAUUUUACCAUCGAAACUCAAAAUUGUAAAUCCAUUCUCGAAGAUAAUACAACUAAAAGUUUAUUUUUCAUCAUUAACUUAAAAGCCCUUAUUUUUUUAAAAAAAAUAUAAAGCUCUUCUUGAACUCUGAUUCCUACGAAGACAAAGAAAACGACUGAUACAAGUAAGAAUGAUGUCAAAAAUAACACCUAUGUGAUCGAAAAUGAGAAUAAAAGCAAUCUGUUGUGGAGGGUUGAGCAAAUUUAUUGAGUAGUUAUUGUCUGUACUGUAUUGUUGAGUGAGAAUGGGAGAGAAAGAGCCAGACCUCGAGAUUUGAAAUGAUGAAACAUUUUGUAUGGGUUGAUUUGUACUUUGGAAAAAAAUGACAAGUAGUUUUGAAAAAUGUUAAAAUCUAUGCAUAAUUUUUAACCCUUUUAUAAAAACAAUUGAAGUUGUAGUUGACAGAGUACUCUAGGAGGUGACCCUGUGAAAACUCACCCCUGGUCCUAGAUUAAUCAAUUUAGGAGUCUAACAUAUGAACUCAAUUAAAAUUAUAAAAAAUAAAUGUUCAACAUGUUGCGUCAGAUUUAUCAUCUGUUAUAAAUUAUCAAUCAUAUUAGGUAACAACGGAUUACAAAUCUGAUGUAAAUUAUCAAACAGAUUAAGUCAUCUGUUGCGACAGAUUACCCAUCUGUUGUAAAUUAUCAAAUAGAUAGUCAUAUGUCGCAACAGAUUAUCCAUAUGUUGUAAACUACCAAAUAGGCGCUGCCAUCUGUUGUGGCUGACCCUAUGAGAACUCACCCCUAGUCCUAGAUUAAUCGAUUGUAUACCCUAUGAGAACUCACCCCUAGUCCCAGACUAUUCAAUCAAGAUAUUAGUACCCUAGUCCUAGAUCAAUCAAUUAAGGUAUUAGUCUAAUAUAUGAGGUAGUAAGAAUCGGUUUGGCUCAGAGUGAUCGAUCGCCGACUCUGGUCGGGAGGAACGCAGUACCAUUUCAUUAUGCAAUUGACAAAAGACUCAAUUGAAGUUGUAGUUAACCCUAUGAGAACUCACAUUCAAUUAAGGUAUUAGUCUAACAUAUGAACUCAAUUAAAUUAUAUAUAAACAAAUGUUUGACCUGUUGCAAUAGAUGUCUUUUCUAUUGGAUCAAAUAGAUUAUGUAAUCUGUUGCAACAAAUUACACAUAUGUUGUAAACUAUCAUACAGAUUAAGCUAUUUGUUGUGAUAGAUCACGAAUCUGUUGUAAACUAUUAAACAGAUUAAGUCAUCUAUUGCAAUAGAUUACCCAUCUAUUGUAAAUUAUCAAAUGGAUUGAGUCAUAUAUUGUAAUAGAUUACCCAUCUGUUGUAAAUUAUCAAAUAGGGGCUGUCAUCUAUUGUAGUUGACAUUAUAAGAACUCACCCUAGUCUUAGAUCAAUCAAUUAAGGUAUUAGUCUAAUAUAUGAGGUAGUAAGAAUCGGUUUGGCUCAGAGUGAUCGAUCGCCGACUCUGGUCGGGAGGAACGCAAUACCGUUUUAUCAUGCAAUUGAUAAAAAACUCAAUUGAAGUUGUAGUUGACCCUAUGAGAACUCACAUUCAAUUAAGGUAUUAGUCUAAAAUAUGAAAUUAAUUGAAUUAUAUAUAAACAAAUGUUCAACCUGUUGCAACAGAUGUCUUUUCUGUUAGAUCAAAUAGAUUAUGUAAUCUGUUGCAAUAUAGUACACAUCUGUUGUAAACUAUCAUACAGAUUAAGCCAUUUGUUGCGACAGAUCACGAAUCUGUUGUAAACUAUCAAACAGAUUAAGUCAUCUAUUGCAACAGAUUACCCAUCUGUUGUAAAUUAUUAAAUGGAUUGAGUCAUAUAUUGCAAUAGAUUACCCAUAUAUUAUAAAUUAUCAAAUAGGCAUUGUCAUCUAUUGUAGUUGACAUUAUGAGAACUCACCCCUAGUCCUAGAUCAAUCAAUUAAGGUAUUAGUCUAACAUAUGAGGUAGUAAGAAUUGGUUCGGCUCAGAGUGAUCGAUCCCCGACUCUGGUUGAGAGGAACGCAGUACCGUCUCAUUAUGCAAUUGACAAAAGACUCAAUUGAAGUUGUAGUUGACCCUAUGAGAACUCAUAUUCAAUUAAGGUAUUAUUCUAACAUAUGAACUCAAUUAAAUUAUAUAUAAAGAAAUGUUCAACUUAUUGCAACAGAUGUCUUUUCUGUUGGAUCAAAUAGAUUAUGUAAUAUGUUGCAACAUAUUACACAUCUGUUAUAAACUAUCAUACAUAUUAAGCCAUCUGUUACAACAGAUCACGAAUCUGUUGUAAACUAUCAAAUAGAUUAAGUCAUCUAUUGUAAUAGAUUACCCAUCUGUUGUAAAUUAUUAAAUGGAUUGAGUCAUAUGUUGUAAUAGAUUACCCAUCUAUUAUAAAUUAUCAAAUAGGCAUUGUCAUCUAUUAUAGUUGACAUUAUGAGAACUCACCUCUAGUCCUAGAUCAAUCAAUUAAGGUAUUAGUCUAAUAUAUGAGGUAGUAAGAAUCGGUUCAGCUCAGAGUGAUCGAUCGCCGACUCUGGUCGGAAGGAACGCAGUACCGUCUCAUCAUGCAAUUGACAAAAGACUUAAUUGAAGUUGUAGUUGACCCUAUAUUCAAUUAGGGUAUUAGUACCCUAGUCCUAGAUUCAUCAAUUAAGGUAUUAGUCUAACAUAUGAGGUAGUAAGAAUCGGUUUGACUCAAAGUUAUCGAUCGACGACUCUAGUUGGGAGGAACGCAGUACCGUCUCAUCAUGAAAUUGCCAAAAAACUCAAUUGAAGUUGUAUUUGACCUUAUGAGAACUCAGCCCUAGUACCAGAUGAUUCAAUCAAGGUAUUAGUACCCUAGUCCUAGAUCAAUCAAUUAAGGUAUUAGUCUAACAUAUAAGGUAGUAAGAAUCGGCUCAGCUCAGAGUGAUCGAUCGACGACUCUGAUCGGAGGAACGCAAUACCAUCUUAUCAUGAAAUUGCCAAAAGACUCAAUUAAAGUUGUAUUUGACCCUAUGAGUACUCACAUUCAAUUAAGGUUUUAGUCUAAUAUAUGAACAUAAUUGAAAUUAUAUAUAAACAAAUGUUCAACCAGUUGCAACAUAUGUCUUUUCUGUUGGAUCAAAUCAAACAGAUUAGGCAAUAUAUUGCAACAUAUUACGCAUCUGUUGUAAACUAUCAAACGAAUUACAUCAUUUGUUGUGACAGAUCACGAAUCUAUUGUAAACUAUCAAACAGAUUAAGUCAUCUGUUGCAACAGACGAUACAUAUGUUGAAACAGGUAGGUGAUCUGUUGGAAUUUAUCAAACAGGUCUUCCCACUGUUACAACAAAUGAACUUUAGAUAAAAACAUCGAGAUAAUGCAACAGAUGUGAGAUGACCAACCUAUUGCAACAGAUAAACUAUAUGUCAGAACAGGUAGGAUAACUGUUACAAUAGAUAGAGAAUCUGUUGCAUUAUAAAAAUUCAACUUUUGUUGGACAUAAAAAAUUGUCACUACGUUUAAAAAGGUUAAAGUGAAUUGAAAUAAAAAAGGCGCAACACAUCGAUGGUGUUCAGUUCAAACACCUAAAAUAAAAUAGGCAUCAAGUAGACACGUUCAUUUUAAAGACGUAAAAUAAAAUAGGCAUCAAAUGUGUUAGUGUCAGUUCUGACACAUUUCGCUGACUUGCCGUCACUUGGCCCCCAACGGUCAUUUUUUCCCCCCAUUGUCUUAUAUAUUUAUAUUCCUCCUAAAAUUUAACCCUAAAUUCCCAAAUCUUCUUCUUCAUCAUCAUCUUCUUUUAUCUAUACAAAUUCUUCAAAUUAUUUCUUUCAUUUUUUCCAACUGACCUUGACAAUGUCGAGCGCAUCUUCCACUAUUUUUUGUGAUAAAGAUUUUUGAUAUUGUAAGUGCGGUCAUGAAGCUCUGUUAUAGACUUCUUGGACUCAACAAAAUCUGGAUCAUAGAUUUUUUACUUGUAAGAUUUCAAAGGUAACAUUUUUUUUAUUUAAUUAGUUGAUAAUUAUUGACUUGUAAUUAUUUUGUAUUUGUAUUCUUUUUUUAUAGAAAUUGGGUAGAUGUGAUUACUUUGAUUGGUAUGAAGAACGACACCCUUCACAAGCAAAUUGUGUAAUUUGGGGUUUGUUGAACAAAGUCAAGGCUUCUGAAGAGAAACAAAAUCGAGCAAGAAAAUACUAUAUUGUUGCCGUUAUUGCUACUGGUUUGGUGUUGUUGGGUACAUAGUUAUUCAAGCCUAAUUGCUGAAAUUUUCAUGGUAGUGUGUGUAUUUUCUAUUGGUUUGGUGUUGUCGAGCACACGGAUAUUCAAGCGUAACUGUUGAAAAAUAUCAAAAGGAUUUAUGCAUAUGUUGUAAAAUUUAGGUCAUCUGUUGGAAAUUAUCAAACAGGUCUUUCCACUAUUGCAACAAAUUAGACUUAGAUUAUUAGAUUAUUCAUAGAAAUAACAUCGGCGUAAUGCAACAGAUAAACUAUCUGCCAGAAGGGAUUAAAUAUAUUUUGCAACAGAUUGGCAAUCUAAUCUAUUGCAAUGUAAAAAAACUCAAAUUUCAUCAGAAAAAUUAUUGCCGCUCCAUGUACAUGUAAUAAAGUGAAGGGUGACUUGAAAUUAAAAAUUUCUAUUUCACAUUCACUUGAAAUUAAAAAUUUCUAUUUCACAGGCUCUUCUAUAUACACAGACUCUUCUAUAUACACAGGCCUCAUGCAUCCAGUUAGUACCCCAUAAGCCCAGACCUCUUGCAGGUUUGCCACGGCAUUGUCACACAGAAAAGUCAUUUGCUCGGCCAUUUUUGUGCCUAUUAGCAAACAUUCUAUGUGUGCAAGAGCGUGCGAGCCUCUCGCUUUAGUGGCAUUAUCUUUUGAAAGGAUCAUUCCCCUGUUUCGACCUUCAAAAUCCCAUGAUUUCUUCAUCAACACUUCCUUUGGCAAAUGAUUCAUCAGUUUACUCUUCCAUAACAAGAUGGACAACAACACCAUCAGUGGCUCCACGAGUAAAAAAAGAUCGAAAUCGUCAAUGGGAGGUACGUUAGAGUCAUAAACAUUGAUCUUUCCCUCCUCGAGUAGUAUCUCAACAGCCUCCUUUUUUCCUCGGUCCAGCUCUUGCCGUGUGGAUUUGGCAUGUCCUCUCUAACAUAUUUUAUCAUUUCUUCUUCAUCCAAGACCAACAUAGGAACUAGGAAAUCAAGUCCCACGCCAAUGGCUGACGCCUCUCCAUUGAGUUGAUCGUAGCUAUCCUUGAGCUUCUUACAGAAGUUGAGGUCCAUUAUCCUAUCGGCAACGUCAUAAGCUUCCUGAUACGUUAAUUAUCUUUUCCUCAUAAGGCAUAGAAUUAUGUAAACAUGCUGUGAGAUAAGAAGUCAAUUUUUAAAUAGGUUAGUAAUUGUAAAGAUGUAACGGAUGGUCCAUCUGUUGCAUAGGGUUCUCUGACUCAAUAAUCCAACGCAACUUAUGCAACAGAUGGAUAAUAAGUUGUAACAGAACCACUACCAGUUGUAACAGUAUACCCAGCUAUUGCAACAGAUGUGAAAUCUGUUGCGUGGCUUCUUCUUCAUGGGGUAGAUUAGAAGGGCUAGGUUAGGAAAAGUAAACUUUCCUUGUCGUCGUACAGCAUACGCAUAUCAGUCAUAGUCUGAAAGUCUUGGGGGGGAAAGGGAGGCCUGGGGCAAUCUGGUGCGCCUGGCUUGGCAUUCUUGGCCUGUCGCAGAUCCCUCUUCUCUUCGGCGCCAAGUUCUGCAUAUAUGUCCACCUUCUUGACUAGCCCCUGAACUUUAACAACUUUUGGAGAAGGAGUAAUUGCAAUUAUUUUUAUUUCCGAGUGGAGAGUACAUCUCUAAUUGCUCUUUUCUAUCUCCUAACCAACACUAUAGGAGUGUGUGGCACCCUCACCUUCUUGGAUGAUAUAGCACACCUCUUGGAUUUGAAUUCCUCGAUAGCUUUAGAGAUAUCCUCUACUUUUUCAAAGAAUUUAUCCUAUCUGUCCUUACACUCAUCACAUUCGCAAUGAGAACACGAGGGUCAAGAAGGGUGAGAGGGACCUGUGUAAGGGCAAAAAGUGAUGUUUUCAAAUACAUUUAUUCUUUCUUGAGCAUCAAUAUACUCAUCAUCACGAGUGGUAGCAGUAUCAGCAUGCCUGCCACCAACACUAACAACUCCACCAGAAGAAGCACCCAGAUCUGCCUUAGUAAAAGGUUGGUCAUAAAAAGCCUUAACAUUAGGCUGACCUUGCCUAACUGCUCUUCUUAUGGCUAUUUCUCCAGCCAAUUCCUUCUUUAUUAACUCCACCGUUGGGUCUGCUAUAGUAUCAACAUGACCUAGAGUAAUAUAAAAAGUCAUCACCGACUCCUCCUCAGUAGGCACAAUCCAUGGAUGCACAACCUACAAACAAGAAAAAAAGACAGAUGCAUUUAAAUCAUAUAAUAUAAUAAUUUUCACAGUUGGGCUAUAUUUUAAAAAAAAGACCCAUCUGUUGCAUAGUUUGCAGUAUAUGGUUAAAAUUUGUUUGAGUCUGGUUUAGAGAAACAGAGAAACACAUGGAUAAUCUAAUUCACAAUAUCAAUUAUCUGCUGUAACAGUUGCACAAGAUGGGUAAUCUGUUAUGCAACAGAUGAUCUAUACGUCACAACAGAUAAACAAUAUGUUAUCAGAUUAAGCAUCUGUUGCAUAAUUUACAAGAGAUGGUUAAUCUUUUAGGAGUCAAGUUCAGAGAACCAAAGCAACAUAUGGGUAAUCUGAUGCAAGAUAUACCCUGUCGCAACAGAUGUCCCAUCUGGUGCAUCAGAUAUAACAUCUGUUGCACCAGAUAUAAUAUCUGUUAAAUAUCUUUCUUAUCUUUGAGUAGAAUUAUUUUUCUUGAAGAAGGCAUACUGCAUCAUCCAAAGGGUUAAAGAGAUCAGCCUCCUUAAUAUUGGUGUUGCUCUUUGCAGCCAACCACCUAAAUAUCCUUGGAUGAGAAACCUCAUCCAGGUAAUCCAUUAACUGCUUUCGGAGGGAGGAAUGACUUCAAAUGCCCAAGCCUAAAAAAUAUAAACAGGAAGCAAGCAAAAAAAAA
rnacentral:lncRNA from 1 species